AAAAAAAAAGAAAGAAAUAUCACCCUUCUGAUUUCGUACUUUCUCAUUUUAGUAUUCUGUGAUUUAAAGUGUAUCAAUUUAGUAUUCUAUGACUUUAUUUUUUUUUGUUCAUUCCACUAUUUUUUUUUCGUUAAAUCAGUGACAAAAUUAAAAGUAAAAGAUACUAAAGUGAAUAGUCAAAAUCUAGGUGGGGUAUCUGAAGUUUUUCGUAUAUAAUUUAACGAAAAAUUAACGGAGGAGCUUACGAAAAGAAAAAAAUGAAACCACAGGGUACUAACUUGAUACACUUUAAAUCAUAUAGUACUAAAGUGAGAAAGUGUGAAACCAUAGGAAUGAUAUUUGAAGUUUAUCCAAAAAAAAAAAAAAAAAACACUAAGUGAGUUGGCUUUUAGAUGAGAGAAUAUUCUUUCACUGUACAGCUAACCGUCUGAUGGUAACAACCGUCGUUAGAGAAUCUGCAUAAGCAUCUCUGAAAAUAACACUAUUCUUUAUAUCCCAGAGGACCCACCACCAGACUAUCAAAUUGGUCAAUCUAGCUCGAAUAUGCCACGAUCUGUUUUAAAAUUUAAAUUUCUGGCGAGAAAUGUUAAGGAUUUGAUUUUUGAAAUUUCAAUUUCAAAAUUUAAUUACUUUAUAUUUGUCUUUUUUUUAAAAAAAUGAACCAAUUGUGCGGCUUACUUCCUUGCUGUCUUUAGCUUCCCAAAAUAAUAAUAAUAAUAAUAAUAAUAACAAAACUGCAGAGACAGUGAAGACGGAAGCGAGAGUUUGGAACACUCUCCGCCUACGCGUGAACAGAAAAUGAAAUUGGCCGGGCCAUCAAAUUUCUGUUCCUUCUAAUGUGGGGUAGCACGGUAACGUACAUUUGCAAAUUUUCUUAAUCCACGCCGUUGACAAGAUGCAUUCAAUAAUAUAAUAUAAUAUAGGCUAUUACAAUGUUAUUAGAUCUGAAGCUUAAAUAUGUCCUGCUUUUUACUCUGUCAAGCUUUUCAACAGUCGUAUGAUGUUGUUGAACAGAUUCGAUCGAGAAAAUUGUAAAAAAAAAAAUCUGCCUUAGACUUUCGGACCCGUACAAUCCAACCACGGUAGACGUGGCCAAACGUCGACCGUGGCAACGCUACAUCAUCGUCUGUUCCACGAGCAAAACAGGAACUGUACUCCCAUUUUACCAUAACAACAUCUCAGGAUUAGCAUUCAAUUGUUACCACUUUGUAAUAAUUAAGGCAACUAUGGAAUCAUCAUCUCAUUUCUUUCUCCUCCUACGCCUUCUUAUUAUUCUCUGCAUUUCACCUGUAGCAAGAUCAGAUGAGCCUCUAGGCAACUUUUGCCGCGCCGACGCGAACUACACGGCCAACAGCACCUUCCAGGCUAACCUCGACCGUGCCCUCUCCUCCCUCCCCUCCGCCGCAGCCCCCUCCGGCUUCGCCAACACCACUGUCGGUCAAGCGGGACCCGAUCAAGUCCACGGCCUCGCCCUCUGCCGCGGCGACGUCUCUUCUGCCGACUGCUUGAGCUGCUUGAAGAACGCCACUAACGAUAUUGUUGCCGAAUGCCCACACGGUGCCGGGUCGGUGAUAUGGUAUAUAUGCACCGUGACACAGACCGCUUUUCUCUAAAAUCUUAAUCAAUUCGAGAGUAGUGUUUUUUUUCUAAUUCAUCGUUUGGGAUAAAUACAAGGAAAUUAAAUGAGGCUACGUAGAUCUGUUAUUUUUGGUUUAGAUUUGUAGUUAUCUAAAUUGAGAAUAAAUCCUAAUCUAAUCGGGAUUAGAUAUUAUUUAGAUUUAAUUUGGCAUAUAUGGAUUAUAAUUAGAAGUGUAAUUCUAAUUGAAUUAGAAUUAGACUCUAAUUAGAAGACAUGUAUUAUAUAUACAUGCUACGGCCAAGUUAAUGAGGUCGCGACCAAAAUUAAGAAGCCAUGCAAACUUGAUUAAGAGCAUGUUGAUGGUCUGUACAGAUGAAGCCGGAUUUCUACAGUGAAGCCAAGCCUAAUUAAGUUUAUAAUUAAGUCCAAGCCGCACUUCGUGCUUAUUUGGGGCUAGUGAUCACGUUGCGGGGAUCCCUCUUUGGAGAUCUAAUUAAAGGAGAGACCAUGCAGAUUAAUUAAGUUUUGUGGUCCAUCCGUACGGUUGAGGAGCCGACUUAUUUUUCCGGAGUUGCUUGUUGCGGCGUUUCCGAUCUAAUUAAGUUUUGGUCUUUUGGGAGAUUCUCGUUGUACUCCGCCUUUUUCGACAUUAAUAAAUUAUUUGCUCCGUCUUCGCCCGUGGACGUAGGCCGUUGGCCGAACCACGUAAUUAUCGGUGUGUUCUUUCCGCUUAUCUUUUCUUUUUUUGCAUUAAGUUAUUUUCUAGAUCUAUUUUUCGCCGUUCCGAUUUUAACAAGAUCUAAGUGUCGUAAUCGUUUAUACUCAACAACAGGUACGACAGCUGCAUGCUCCGCUACAACAACAUCAGCAUCUUCUCGGUGCUCGACAGUUCGUUCAACAUAUGCAUGCCAACUCCGGCCAAGGUGUCGACGCAGCCGCAGCUGUUCGACAACUUGCUAGGGAGGCUGAUGGACAACCUCACGGUCACCGCCGCACAAUCACCGGAGAUGUUCGCCUUUGGCGAGGUGAACUUCACCGAAUCCAAUAAAAUCUACGGGAUGGCGCAGUGCACGAGAGACUUGUAUAGCGUUGAUUGCUACAGAUGCUUAAGGACUUUUGUGGAGGAUAUCCUAAGUUGCUGCGAUGGGAACCAGGGGGGGAGGGUGCUCGGAAGAAACUGCGUCCUCAGGUACGAGCUGUAUCAGUUUUACAAUGCGUCGGCGCUACAAAAUGCGGCGGCGCCGUCCGAGGCAAACGCAGCUGCACCACCCAAGGCGAGCGGUAAGUCCGAGCCUUUAAAGUGUGAUUUUUACUGCAACACGUACAGUUCGUAUCUUGUAUUUCAUACCUAUUUUCAGCUCUAUUAAUUUAGACAGAAUAGAUUCAAUGUAUAAUUGGUUUCUUCAGUUUAAUCCUGUUUUUAAGUUUCAAAAAUCACUAUCUAACCAUGCAAGAUGUGUUAAACCCUAGCUACCAUAGUAGCUGCACAAUUAGAAUUUAAUUUAUUAAAUGCAUUUCAUAACAUUAAAAGAUUUACAUGUAUAAGAGAACGGGGCAGUGAUAUGAGGUAACACGAGGGAGAGCUUCAACUUUGGACAAAAAGACUUUUAAUUAGUAAAUUUUUAUUUUUUUUGGCUAUUUUUUCUCCAUAAAAUAUUAAUUUUCUUGUAGUAUGAUUUCAAGAACUGAGUAAGAUUACUUGUUCUUGGUGCAGGAAUCAAUAGAAGUACAAAGACAAUUAUUAUUGUUGCCAUUUCUAUAGUUGCUGCUGCUUUGCUGCUCCUCUCUGUUAUUUAUCUCUGCCUGAGAAUAAUAAGAAGGAAACGAAGAAAACCAGAAAGAAAUGCUCUGAUCAGUAAGUUGCACGCAUAACUGUAUCUUAACAUGCAAAUAUAUAAAACUUCAUUAAUCAUCAUGUACUAAGAUCUUGCUUUUCACAAAGCAAAUGGAGGAGAUGAGCAGGAAAUUAGAAUGGCAAAAGCUCUUUUGUUCGAUUUGACAACAUUAAGAGCUGCAACAAGCAACUUUUCUGAAGCAAAUAAGCUUGGUGAAGGUGGAUUUGGCCCAGUGUACAAGGUAAAAAUAUACUUUUCCUUUGUGAAUCAACUAUUUGUCUCUAUUGUAAUAGUAUACAUUCAACACUCUUUCUCACGAAACUACGGGCUCGAUGUAAUUCGAGCUCAAGAGACUUUCUGUUCUAAUACCAUGUGAAACGAUCAUUAUUUAUUUCUAAAAGCUUAAUCUACCAUAAAAUGGUAUUUUAAUAUUAUAUAUUCAACAUAUUUCAAGUGCUCCAAUGUGAGUAAUUUCCUCUUCAUUAUUGAAUGUGACUAUGUCACAUUUGCAUGCAGGGGACACUACAAGAUGGACAAGAAAUAGCAGUGAAGAGGCUGUCGAUGAGCUCAGUGCAGGGGCUAGCUGAGCUGAAAAAUGAGGUGGUGCUUGUGGCAAAACUUCAGCAUAGGAAUCUGGUGGGAUUAAUUGGUUGCUGCUUGGAAGAGCAAGAAAAGCUCCUUGUCUAUGAGUACCUGCCCAACAGAAGCCUUGAUAAGUUUCUCUUUGGUAUAGUCCACCACAUAGAUUGUUUAUUGAUAUUGCUAUUUGAUUUGAAUUAGCCUUUAUUAAAUAGAAGUGUACUCGUAUACUUGUUUUGAUAAGUGGAGUACAUUUGUCACGAGUCAGUUGUGCUUCUAUCUAUAAUAGGUUUUCUUACUUUUAGGGCUUUGAAACUUGCUGCAUGAUGAAAAAUGUUCUUAUUAACUGAACAAGUUAAUUAAGAAUUAAAUAUAUAACACUAUUUUACCAAAACGGAACAGAUUCUGUGAGGCGCGAGCAAUUAGACUGGGACAGACGUUACCAAAUCAUCAAAGGAAUCAGUCGAGGACUUCUCUAUCUUCACGAAGAUUCGAGGCUAAAGAUCAUUCACCGGGAUUUGAAAGCGAGUAACAUCUUGUUGGAUGGGUUUAUGAUACCUAAAAUCUCUGACUUUGGCCUGGCAAAGCUCUUUGAUGUUGAUUCGAGUAAAGGAAGCACGAGUCGGAUUGCAGGAACAUAGUUAAGCGCAUUUGGAUUCAUCAAAUUGUUUUGUCCUAAUUAGGAGAUGUUUAUAUAAUGUUAAAUUUUUUUUUUUUUUUAUUGCAGUGGAUACAUGGCACCAGAGUACGUAAUUCAUGGACACUUCUCGGCAAAAUCAGAUGUUUUCAGUUAUGGUGUGUUGGUUUUGGAGAUUGUGACCGGACGAAGGAACGCCCGCUCUCAAGAAGCUAUUUAUGCCGAAGACCUUCUAUCCUAUGUAAGCAUUUUCUAUACCUUAGUUGGUGGAUAAGGCAUACAUAUUUUUGUUUUACAAAUUCCGGAUUCGAAUAAGAGACGCAUUUAAAAAUAGAGUCCGGAUCUAUUUCAAAAACCUAAGUUUUAUUAACGUCCCAUGUAAUUAGGAUGAGAAAAGUACUGGACCAGUCCAAGCGACCCAAUCAAUGGGCCUACAAGGAAAAAGAAGAUAUUGUAGAUUCCUAGAAAUGUUAGAUUAUUAUAUAUCAGAAGAUAUUUUUAUUUUCAUGCUUGAUGCAAAUUAUUGAUAGUCUAUUAUUUUUGAGAAAAAGGUAGCACGCUACCUGCUUCAUUCAUUUAGAGAAUGAAUUAGGCUUACAUAAUGGAGGCAGCCGGGACCUCCGCCGGGGGAAAGAGUGUCAAAAGCCAGAAUAACAAAGACAAGAAACGAAAACGACAAGAGACUAAAACCAAAAACAAAGGAAAUGAGGGUAAGGGAAGCAAAAGCGACAAAUAACUAAAACCAAAAGAGGAAGAAAGAAAGAGUAAAAAUGACAGGCGUCAAACAGCAGGGAUCCAGCAGGGUCAACAAGGAGCGAUCCAGGUGUCAAGCAGCAGUUUCGCCCGUUCCAGGCACCGAAUAGGGUUGGGGGCAAUCUCUCGGAAAAUUAAACCAUUCCUUUCCGUCCAAACGACCCACCAAAUAGCAGAAAGAAGGGAGAGGGAAAUAAGUCUGUCUUUGGCGUCUCGUAGAUCAAUAAAUUUAGACCAGAGGUCUCUCACAUCGUCCGCUGGAUCAGACAGAGCCUCCAAGCCACCUAUGCUCAGCAAAAUGAAGCGAACAAAGACACAGGAACUCAUGAGGUGGUCGCAACUUUCCAAAUUAACGGCAUAGAAAAAACAUGUUUGAUCCGGUAGCCACCUUUGCAAACUUAUAUUAAAAAUACAUAUAUUAAUUCUUAUCAACCUCCCAACCCAAAUGCUUUGAUAAAUUACCAACAAACUUAUCAUUUCCAAAUAGAAAAUAGACAAUAUUUUAAUAUUUUUCGAAAUAUUAUAAAUCAUGAACCAAUCUAGUCUGGUUCUGCUAGUAACUGAAGCACUCUCUUAACCAGGUGUGGAAGCACUGGAGCCAAAGGACUGCACACCAGGUGCUCGACCCGAGCAUCUUGGGACGGUGCCGGCUGCAGGACGUGAUGAGAUGCAUCCACAUUGGGCUGCUGUGCGUCCAGGCUGACCCGUCGGACCGGCCGAGCAUGGCCUCCGUCGUGCUCAUGCUCAACAGCCUCUCCUCCGCCCUUCCCGCCCCGUCGGCCCCCGCUUUCGUCAUCCAGCACGGCUCAAUUGCAGGCAACGCAGAUGAGGUCGAGACCGACGCGUCCGGCGUGCUGCAAAGGCGCACGACGAGGGCGGCGUCGGCGAACGACAUCUCCAUUUCGGAAGUCGAGGCGCGGUAGGGCCUCAGAGUUGGGGAAGAUUCAAUUUGAAUAUACCGAACUGGAGUGGUAGUGCAUGCCGAAUGAGCAGCAGAAGGCAUUAUCAUUAAUUUAGAUCUACACAAACGUUGAAUACUUCAUUCGAUUCUUUGUUUUGGUAAAAAUAUAUGAAACUUAUCUUAACUGUCCACCAUUUGAAUUUGAUUAUUCAAUUUUUCAAAAUUUUAAUUUUACUAUAUAAUAUUUCAAUUUGUUUGAUUUGAGCACGCCAACCGGCACUUUAACUUUAAAAUUUGAAUACGUCGUUUAAUUCUACAGAUUUAGUUAAUAUAUUUCAUUCAACUCACAACUACAAGUUUAUUAUAUUAAGUAAUUAACUUAAAUUUUGAAUUCGAAUUAUCGUUGACUAAUUCAAAUCAAACAAAUUGAAAGGCUGGAUAUAUAGUAAAAUUAAAAUUUUGAAAGGCUCAAUAGCUAAAUUCAAAUGGCCUAUAAUUCAUAUAUAAGUUUCAACAUUUUUAUUUAUUUAACUAGUGAAGAUGUAAUUAAUAAUAGCAUAGAUGUAGGCUAAAAUUUGAAAACUUUCUUGCAUUUUAGCCUGUGUCUUAAUUAAUUUCUAUACUAAAAGUUAUUUUAAUUUUUAAAAUUAGGCAAGUAUAUUUUUAGAAGUACAGAAGUUUUCAUACUUUCUAAUUAUUUUCAAUAAUAAGACAUCCAAUUCGACAAUCAACUUUAUUAGACAUAAUUUACACUAUUCAAACUAUCUUAAAAAUAAAAUUUUAUAAUUUUUUUUAACAUCAUUUGUUUAGUGAUGAAUAGUUACAAAAUAAACACCUGAAAAUAAAAAUCAAUAGUUACAAAAUAAACACCUGAAAAUAAAAAUCUCAUAAAAAUCAUAGUAGAACACCUAAAAAUCUCAUAAAAAUCUCAUAUCGUUUGGACGUUUAAUUAAAGACGUUUCGUCCAAACAUAGAAUAAAAAGUGUUUUUAUAUUGAAAUUUUCUUAUAGUGAAUUCAACCUUCAAUCGGAGAGACAACAGUUGGCGGAUCAAACUAGAGCGCAUCAUGCGUCGGUUCCCCAUUUUUCCACCAACAGCAGGUUAAUAUUCCAUAUCCUGUUCUUUGCAGCAGCACAGCAUAUUUGCAAUAUUUCUUAACUCUUUUCCAUAAGAAUAGUUGCAUAUUAGAUCUUAAGCUUAAGUAUAUCAUAUUUUUCUACUCCAUCAAUCUUCUCAAUAAUUGUAUGAUAUUGAACAACAACUGUUUUUAAUUUAUUUUUUUUAUAUAAAAAAGGGAAAAAGAAUGGUCGUUUUGGAAUUGGAAGGUGACGGGAGAAACCACUACGCGUUUUAACAAAUUUGAUUGAGAAAAUUGUAAUUAGAAAACCGCGUCAGACAGGACUAACGCUGGACUUUCGAACGACCGCAUCCAGCGGCGGUAAGAAAACGAACCUCUUUUUCUCAAAUUUUUGUAGACUAGCCGUCAAUUCAAUAGCCAACGGCCCACCAGUCAAUGGUCCCACAUCUAAGCUUUUUUUUUUUCUUUUUUUUUUUUUUUGAUGAGAUAGGUAGCACGCUACCCGCUUCGUUUAUUUCAUUUAGAAAUAAAUUUAGCUAGAAAUGUGAAUCAACUGGGAUUCAAACUUGGGUCUCGGGUACCAGCCACCAAGCUCUUUGCCACUUGCUUUAGGGACGGUCGGUAUCUAAGCAAUUAUUAGAAGUAUAAUUCUUCUUGUGCUCCUAACUUUCUAAUCAUUCAUCAAGUUUAAUGGAUGAUUAAGAUAAGAAAAAAAAAAUAAAAAAAAUUGGAUGUCCCAAUUUCUCUACUCUUUGAAUAUUUUUUUCUAAUUUUUCUUCCCUCCCUCUCAUCCUAGCUAUCCAUCAAAAUUGAUUAAUGAUUAGAAAGUUAGGAAUACAAAAACUGUUGUGCUUCUAAUAGCACAGUAAUCUUACUUAUUAAAUUAUUACAAAGAGUUAGACUAUUAUGCUUUCAAAAGCAAAGUAGUCUAGCUCUUGACUACGUUUAAAAAAUACGAAGGUAUUUGUAGUUUUGAGUUGUUUUUUAUGAUAGGACAUCUAAUGCGGCGAUCAGUUUCAUUAAAAAUGAUCUAUUGUAUUAAAACUAUUUAGAAACCAAAUUUCAUAAUUUUUCGAAUUUAUUUAUCUAGUAAACGAAUAGUCUAAAAAUGAACGAUUAAAAAUAAAAAUCUCAUACAAAUAGUAAUAAAAGACUUAAGCUUCGAAUCGAAAGUACUGAUCUUACUCUCAAUAGUAAAUAAAAUUGUCUAUUAAAAUUUUAUCUAAUUUCAAUUGUUAUACACCGUUAAACUUAGCAACGUGUUACAUCGGCUAUUAAAAUAGUCAUUUUUAAAACCCUUUGAUUACUUGGUAAAUAUUAUUAAAAAAUUAUAUAAUUUUCUUUUUAGUCAAUUCUAAUAGUAUAGAUUAUAUCUAACGGAGCUAAUCUCUGAAUCAAGAUGUUCUAUCGUCGAAAAUAACUUAAAAAUAUAAAAGUCUCUGUGCUUUUGAAAACACAGUAAACGUACUCUUAUUAUAAAUAUAUUGCCAUAUAUUUAUGUAUUAUAUACAGGUAUAAAUCUAGUUUUUAAUUAGAUUAAUAUCUAAUGAUGAAAAUUUUAAUACUGUCCAAGUCGGAAACUCGCGGUGUAUCGAAAUCUGCACAUCUAAUGCCCGCUCUACACUCAACUUUUUAUUUGUUUAUACGUAAUUACCAUCUUUACAUAAUGACUUUAAGAACUUAGAAGCAAGGAUUAACUUAACGGAUCAUGUAUUGCAGAAGCCAAUGUACAUUGAGUCGGUAUUUUCACGCCGGACUAAUUAGAAUUUUUUUUGUUUUUAUCGUAACAAUUUUCUUAUUGGAAGUAGUACAAAGCGAUAAUAACCGAAUACUAGCUAAAUUUAUUUUUUUGAUGAAUGAAGCAGUAGAAUACUACAUUCUUUCAAGAUAAUAACCGAAUGCUAAUAAGAGUUUAUAUAAUAAGAUAAGUAGAUAUUUUGAAGUUAGGAGACGACACACUAUCUGUCAAUAUAUGAUGAAAUUCUUAUUAUGCAUGUGAAAUAAGAGUAAUACUAUCUGUAUAUUUAAAAAGUAGAUAUAAAUUAUAGAGCAUGACUAUUGUACUAUUAAGAGCAUAGUAACCCGUAUAUUUCUAAGUUUCUAACUAUUCAUCAAUUUUGAUGAAUAAUUAGGAUGAAAAAGAGAAGAGGAAUUGGAGAAAAAUUUAGGUUUCUCAAUUUCUCUUAUUUUUCAAUAUCUUUCCAAUUUUUCUUCUCUUUCUCACCCUAAUCGUUCAUCAAAAUUAAUGAAUGAUUAGAAACUUAGGAGCAGAGCAACUAUUGUACUUUUAAUAGUACAGUAAUCCUACUCUAAUUUAAUUAUGUUAUACAUGCAAUCAAAAUUUAUUUUACAAUAAGAGCGUUGACUGACGUCAACUCAUAGUUCGACGGUCAACAGUCAAUCAGAUCCCCAGGAGAGGACUCAUGGCCCGUCUAAUACGGAAUCAAUAGAUCAAUUGGACCACGCAAACGUCUCAAAGUCAUUAAUUAUUAUCUACCCAUUUAUUAACUGGUAAAUUAUUAUCUUAUCGUUUCCUUCAUGGAUAAUUGGAUACAAGACACUACAAAAGAUUGCCUUUUCAAGGUUAUUUCUACAAAAUUUUUAUUUUUAUAUUUAUUUCUUUAGAAAAAAACAUUUAUAUAAAAUUCCUUUAUAUAGCCCCGUAUUUCAUUGUGUUUUCCAACUACUUGUGAGAAAACUAUGGAGCCUUCCCCUUUCCGGUUCCUUCUCUGCUCAGUACUGCUCCUCAUUCUCCUCCACAUCCCCACAUCCAAAUCCGAAGCCUCCUCCCUCUUCGUCAACUGCUCCACUGCCGCGAACUUCACGGCGAACAGCACCUUCCAGUCGAACCUAAACCACCUCCUGUCUACCCUCCCCGUAGCCGCCUCACCGUCCGGCUUCUACAACACCACGGUCGGUCAAAACGGCGUCGAUCAAGUCUACGGCCUCGCAUUAUGCCGCGGCGAUAUCUCCGCCUCCGACUGCAACGCCUGUUUGACUACAGCCGCGCAACAUGCCGUCGGAGAGUGCCCGCGCGGCACGUCGAACACCCUGUGGUACGACACCUGCAUGCUGCGCUACUCCAACAGCAGCUUCUUCGGCGUCGUCGACUGGGCUCAGAUCUUCGCAUGGAACCUGCACAACGUCACGGAUCCGAAUCUGUUCGACGACCAACUCUAUCAGCUCAUGCGUAACUUGUCCACGGAAGCGGCCUACAGGUCGGGGCGGCCGCCGAUGUUCGCCGUGGGCCAGGUCCAAGUCAUCAACUCUACAAACAUAUACGGGUUGGCGCAGUGCACGAGGGAUCUGUCGCAGAACGACUGCUACGGGUGCUUGAGCAAUUGCAUCAAGAGCAUCCCGAAUUGCUGUGCAACGAGGAUUGGCGGGAGGAUUUUCGGAGAGACUUGCAUGAUUCGGUUUGAGUCGGCUCCGUUUUACAAUUUGUCGCCCAUCGGGAACACGACAGCACCGUCGCCGGCACCGUCCGGUCAGAAUAAGGGUGAUGGCAGCAAGGGAAGUGGAGGUAAGUCAAAGUCUUUUUCCCGCGUUAUUUUUUUUUUUUUGAGAAAAAUAGUAUGCUACUGCUUUAUUCAAUAAGAAUAUGAACUUAACUACAAAAUUGCGACAACGAGACCGCGAAAAAAUAAAAAAGAAAAUACUAAGAAGAAAGAAAGAAAGAAAAGAACACAUCGAGCUACAAUAACAAAAUUAAUGAAUCCUGUACUGAUCCCAAAGCCUCCUAAUUAGCUCUCUAAUCUCAACUAACAGCUGAUACAAGUUAAAUUUUUUUUUACCGUAGGGAUUUGCUGUAGGGAGGCUGUAGGAAACUUCCUUUAAUCGAUCUAAGUAGGGGAGCUAAAGUUUUUUUUUUGAGAAAAAGGUAGCAAGCUACCUGCUUCAUUCAUAAAGUGGGAUGAAUUAAGCGUACAGGGUGGAAGCAACGACGGCCUCCGAAAAAGGCAAAAGGAGAAAACAGAAAUAAAGAAAAAAAGAAGAAAAGAAACAAAGUAAGAGCUAAAGUUAUGAGCUAGAAACAAGGGUUAAUUUACAGUAUUAGUUUAGAAACAAAAGCACGAAGAUAGUGACAUAUAGAUAUAUCUAUUACCAAUUAAACAAAUUAAAAUAAAAUUAUAAACUUCUAUACGAUUGAAAUACUGGUAAUUAAUUAACAAAACUGCAUUUAUAAUGUUUGAAAAUUAUUAUACAAUCAAUCUCAAUUCAGGAAAAUGGCUCAUUUUAAGUUUGAGCUCAUCACACACAAAUUGUUAGAAAAGGUCAAACUACUUCAUGGUCGAUAUGAACUAACAUAUAGAGCUAAUUAAUAGCGUGUGGAUGAUAACCAUAUCAAGGUUUUUUUUUUUUUUUUUUUGAGAAUAGGUAGCACGCUACCUGCUUCAUUCAAUGGAAGGGUGAAUUAGGCUACAGAGGUGAGGCAUCGAGGGCCUCGUGAACACAUUAAAAAAAAAAAAAGAAAAAAAAAGAAAAAAAGAAGAAGCAUAUAUAUAUAUAUGUAUAUAUAUAUACAUAUGUAUAUGUAUAUAUAUAUGUAUAUAUAUAUACAUAUAUAUAUAUACAUAUACAUGUAUAUAUAUAUAUAUAUGUAAAGAAGGCAAUUAAGGAAGGUCUAUCCAAGAGUCAAUCAGGAACUUGAGCCUGCGCACCACAGUUACUGGGUCAAACUGUAUGCCUCGAAAGAUAACGUCGUUCCUAACUUUCCAAAUGGUCCACCAGCACGCUGCUAACUCGGGUAAUCCGUGCCUCCUAUUUAGUCCACCAUCCCUACGUCUCCACCUAUCCCAGACUUCAAGUACAUCAUCACCCAAUUCCCCGGACUGAACUUCUUCGAGUCCCGCGACCAUGAUAUACUUGGUAAAGACACAUUGAGUGAAUAGAUGAUCCACAGACUCGUCAUGAACCGUACACAGCGCACAAGUCGUACUUCCAGACCACCCUGUCAGACUGAGGUUGACCGCCGUAAGAGUUCUUUUCUUAAGGACAAGCCAACAGAACACUUUGAUCUUGAGUGGGAUUCGGAGUCUCCAAACCAAGCUACUCCGCCCGUCUCUCGUGCCCCUGUCGUUCAAUAUGCGAUAGGUCGAUCGUACUGAGAAUAUAUUAUUAGUAUCCCAUCUCCACCCUAUCCUGUCCUCUGUCUGUCCAAUACAAACGCUAGAAACUCUCUCUUUGAGUUUUGAGAGGGUGCAACGCAAGCUCGGUGUAACAGAAGUUUCCUCGCCCAAGAUCCUAUUCCAAUCCCAAUCGUUGCCGCCAAAGCAAUCCCGGACCAGGAUGGGUUUUCGAACCGGCUGUGUGAACAACUCCGGGAAGGACGCUUGGAGUGUGGUAUUCCCACACCAUCUGUCAAGCCAAAAAUCAACCGAUGCCCCAUUACCCAGAUGAUAGUUGGUCCCCCAUUUGAAAAUAUCCUUGGUGGCAAGCACCCCCUUCCACCAGUAUGAAGACGGCCGGAAACCUCUCCCCUCCCACAGCGGUCUUCUUCUUCGGUAGUACAAAGCACGGAUAAGCUUGAUCCACGGCAAAUUGGAUAUAGUAUAGUAUCUCCACCACCAUUUGACUAGGAGAGCCGUAUUCAUGUCGGCUAUAUCUAGGAUGCCUAAACCACCUGCCCGUUUGCUCAAACAGACAUUUUUCCAUGCGACCAGACACCCCCUGCCAGGGAUGUCGCAUUGGCCACUCCAAAAGAAAUCCCUGCGUAGUGCUUCGAUGCGCUUGAUGACCCAUUUGGGUGCCUUGAACACUGUCAGGAAGUACAGUGGCAGAUUGGUGAGCACCGCAUUGACAAGGAUAAGUCUACCCCCUCUCGAGAGAAGUUUGGCCUGCCAUGCACCCGUCUAUUCUGUGCUGUAUUUUCUGAAUAACCCCUCUCCAGUCCUCCUUUGUGGGGGGUUUUGGUGAGAGUGGUAGACCUAGAUACGUGGUAGGGAGGGAACCAACUUUACAAUCGAGCAACUGCGCAAGUCUCUCCGCUUUACCCUCAAUCCGUCCUAGGUAGUAAAGCUCGGACUUUUCUCUGUUGAUUUUCAACCCAGAUGCCCACUCGAAGAGAUUCCACAUCAGUCGGAUAUUUCUCAUAAAUCGUUUUCUAGCCACGGAGAAGAAGAACGUAUCGUCCGCGAACUGUGUAAGUGCCGUUAAACUCUCGUGUGAAGGGCCAAUCCCCAUGAAGAGGUUGUUUGAGAUUGCCAUGCUGGACAAUCUAGCGAGACACUCCGCCACCAGCAGGAACAGGAAUGGUGAGAGUGGAUCUCCUUGACGUACCCCUCUCUUAGUUUUGAUCCAGUUAGUUGCCUCACCAUUAACUAAAAUGGCUACCUUAGCGUUGCACACACAUUGUUUGAUCCAUUCACACCACUGCUCCUCGAAUCCCCACCAUCGGAGAAUGCUGAAGAGAAAGGGCCAGUAAAUUCUAUCGUAGGCCUUUUCGAAGUCCACUUUUAUGCCAACUCCCUCAAUGGCCUCCUUACAACCCCCCCAAUUAGUUCAGAGACUGUUACGUACGCGUCGGUAAUGUUUCUCCCUUUUAAGAAAGCGGAUUGAGAGGGAGAGAUUAACUCAUUCAUAACAGCAGCUAGUCGAUUUGCGAGGACCUUCGAAAUAAUCUUUUGGAUUCCGUUUAUAAGACUGAUCGGCCGGAACUCGUUAGCCCUUUCCGCCCCUUCUCUCUUAGGGAUGAGACAGAUGAAUGAGUAAUCAAAAGGAGCAAUCGAAAUCCUGCCUUCAUAUAGAAAGACCAAUGAGUAAUCAAAAGGAGCAGUCGAAAUCCUCCAUAUCAAGGUUGAUGGUGAUAAUAUUUGAUCUAGAAAGACCAAUGCCCAUCUUUAGGUAUACCCAUCCCUUUCUUCUAACAUUGAGAUAUUUAUAUAACCAUGCCUUAAUUCAAUCCUUUUCAUAGGUAAUACUCUUUUUCAACUUACGAAAAGAUUGCAUUAUGUGCGGUAAAAAAAUAUUACAGAAAAAUAUAAUAUUUGUUUCCAUACGUGAUAUCAGAUUUCACAUAUUGUAAUAAAUUAAUUACGAUAUAUUUUCUAUAGUCAUACCAAAGAAUAAAAAAGUAUAUUUUUAUAAGCUUUUGUCCCGAUAUUUUUUUGGUUUAAUAGCAUUAAAUAGGUGUCAAUCUCAGGUGAGGCCUAAAUUAUGUAGUGAACUCUUAUUCAUGGAAUUAAUAUUGCUCAAGUAUCCAAAAUAACAAAAAUAAAUAAAAAUAGGGAAAGAAUAAAAACUCUCACUCUCACUCUUCGUGGUUUCGUGGUGAUUUGGUUUAUAUGGUGCGAGACAUUUAAUAAAGUGAAAAACAAGGCAUUAUAUCUCAUGGCCCUAAUGAAAAGGGUUUCAAAGCGUUCCUUCGUUGAAGGAUUUUUCAUCUUUUUUCGACUUGGCAUUAUAUCUCAUGGCCCUAAUGAAAAGGGUCUUUUUCAUCUUUUUCCGACUAUCUUUGGAUCUUUUUUACUUUAGCAUUGUUUUCUUUCUUGCUGUUCGUCUUUCGCCUCGGAAGCCUGAGCUUUUUCCAUACUGUAUUGCCUAAUUCAUUUAUCAAUGAAUGAAGCAGGUAGCCCGUCUACCUCUUUCUCAAAAAAAAAAGGUGUUCCUUCGUCGAGCACGAUCCUCAACCUCUCUCCUUCUUUCUCUCCAUCAUCCUCUCACCGUCUGAUCUCAGAGUUUGAUCAUCACAUAUGGUUGUGCAGAGUCCGGAUGUCACGAGGUCGUCAAUUCUAUGGGUGUCCAAACCGGAGGAUAAAACAACUACUUUUGCAUUGAUGAAAAAAAUAAUUGUUCAUUAAUUAUUAAUUAUCUAGAGUAACUUUAAAAUUUAGUAUGCAAUAAUAUCAUUUAUCUUUAUUCCAACUAACAGUGCUUUAAAAAGUUUCUUUCUUCAUUUACUAAUUAUUUUUAUAUUUGUGUACAGUAACAAGAACGAUAAUUAUUCUGUUUGGAUUGAUGAUACACACUACAAUACUGUUGACUUAAAGAUCAAGUACAGACAUUUCAAGAAGCUGCGGAGCAACAUAUUCAAAAACUAGAAAAGAAAGCCUUAUUUCUACUUAAGCUGCUUAUAUGUUUAAUUGUGGCUAAUAUUUUAUUUAGUUUGGCAAUGUAAUAAAAUAUGAUAUAAAGAAUUAAAGCUGCAAUAUUUUUGAUAAUGUAGUAGGAUUGCGAUAAUACAUUCUAGUGAUGAAGUAGUAAUUGUUGUAAUGUAAGUGAGACAAUAUUUGUGAUAAUGUUAGUGAUAUAUAAAAUAGUAGUUGUUGUAAUGUAAUUAAAGCAUUGUUUGUGAUAAAAGCUUAUUUCAUUUUGAAGUAAAGUGGUACCUGCACAUAGAUAAGCGAAGAAAACUACACUAUAAGAAAUCUAAAGAGCUGCAACAUACAACCUUCAUAGAAUCUACACAAAAAUCCUACAACCCACAUCGUGAAAUAUGCACUGAAAUUUGCAAGCAUUAUUUGUGACUGCAGGAACAUAUAUAGUUAGGCACACAUUGAUUCAUCAUAUUGUUUUCUCCUAAUUAGGAGAUAUUUAUAUAAUGUUAAAACUUUCUUUUUGAUUGCAGUGGAUAUAUGGCACCAAAGUAUGUAAUUCAUGAACACUUCUCAGCGAAGUGAGAUAUUUUUAAUUAUGGUGAGUUGGUUUUGAAAAUUUCGACCGAAGGAACGCGGCCCGAUCAUUAAUAAGCCUAUAUGGAAAAAGAAGACACUGUAAAUUCCUAGAUGGCAGGAAUUUUAAAUUAUUGGAAAUUAAGAGAUAUUCUCAUUUUUUUAUACUUGAUGCAAAUUAUUGAUAGUUUAUUAUUAAAAAUGCAUAUACUAAUUUUUAACGACCUCUCAAUUUAAAUGCUUUGAUGAAUUAGCAUCAAAUUUGCAUUAAUUUAGUACUUUCGAAAAAAACGAAAGCGUUAGUACUUUCAGAUUAUUUUCAAUAAAAAUUAAACAUUUACAUACAUACUUUUUUUUUCAUUUUAACUGCCUUGAAAUUUCGUACUAGUCAAAAUCAUGUGGACGACUAGAUAAGGGGAAUAUAUAUAUAUAUAUAUAAGUUAUUUGUGCUGGUAUGCUUAUGAAAGCACGAGGCCUCCGUGCUUUCACUUUGUUUUUGAUGUUCGGACUUUCGAAUCGACGAUCGCUCCGUUAGAGUUGAUCUAGAGUAUUUGAAGUACCUAGAAAUAAAUUUUGUGAUUUUCGAUAUCAUUUGCUAGUGAUCAGAGGGCUCAAAAUCAAUAAUUUUAACAGCCGUGGUGAGCCGAUGCAAGUUUAACGGUGUAAAAAAUAUUCAAAUCACAUAAAUUUUGAUAAAAAAAAUUCUCAUACCAUAAUAAAACAAGGAUCAAUAACUUUGAUCUAAAAUUUUAAUUCAUAUCAUCAUAUUUUGUAAGAUUUUUAUUUUUCAGCCGUUGAUUUUGAGCCACUUCGAUCACUAAGCAAUGAUAUCGAAAAAUCGCAAAAUUUAUUUCUAAUACUUCAAAUACUCUAAUCAAGUUUAACGGAGCCGAUUGUCGAUCGAAAGUCCGAACAUCAAAACAAAGUGGAUACGGAGCCCCUCGUGCUUCUAAUACAUCCUACCACACUCUAAUAUAUAUAUAUAGAGUUGACUAGAAUCUAUCGAUAGCGAAACCGCACUUUGCAACCCAUUUGUUUGAUGAUGGAGCCUCCAAAUCGACGAUCAGCCCCCGUUGAACGUGAUCUAUACUACUUAAGUAAUUUAAAAUUAAAUUUCAAAUCUUUUCGAUAUCAUUUGCCUAAUGAUCAAAGAUUUCAAAAUUUGUAAUUUUUAAUGGUCGAUAGUAGGCGUUUUCUCGUUUAACGGCGUAAAGAUAUCCAAAUCAAUUGAAUUUUUGUUAGAAAAUUCUUUAAACUAUUUAAAAAAAUCUAUACUCUUGAUCUGAUUACAAGACUCCUAUUAUCCAUUUUUAAAAUAUUCAUUUUCAGCCGUUCAUUUUGUGUCCACCGAAUGGAUAAGAAGCAAUAUCGAAAAUGUAAUGAAAUUAAUUUCUAAAUACUUCAAAUGUAUAAUCAUGUUCAACGGUGCCGAUCAUCAUUUGGAGCUCCAUCAUCGAAAACAAAAUGGUGCAUAAAGUGUCGGUUUGCUAUCGAUAGUAUUGCUAGCUCACUCUAUAUAUUAUAAUAUAUAUAUAAUAUAUAUAUAUAUAGUGCGUCUCGGGUGUGCUUUCCGAAGCACGGAGCGCUCCGUGCUUCACUUUGUUUUCGAUGUUGGGACUUCAAAUCGACGAUCGCUCCGUUAGACUUGAUCUAGAGUAUUUGAAUAUCUAGAAAAUAAAUUUGCGAUUUUCGAUAUCAUUUGCUAGUGAUCGAAGUGGCUCAAAAUCAACGGCUGAAAAUAAAAAUCUCACAAAAUAUGAUGAUAUGACAUUAAAAUUUUAGAUCAAAUUAUUGAUCUUGUUUUAUAGGUAUAAAGAAUUUUCUAUCAAAAUUUCACGUGAUUUGGAUAUUUCUAACACCGUUAAACUUGCAACCGGUCACCACGCCGUUAAAAUUAUUGAUUUUGAGUCCCUUCGAUCACUAGGCAAAUGAUAUCGAAAAAUCGCAAAAUUUAAUUUCUUGGUACUUUAAUACUCUAGAUCAACUCUAACGAGGCCGAUCGUCGAUUCGAAAGUCCGAACAUCGAAAACAAAGUGGAAGCACGGAGGCCUCCGUGCUUACGAAAGCAUACCAGCCCACUCUAUAUAUAUAUAUAUAUAUUAUAUAUAUAUAUAUAUAUAUAUAGUAUAUUAUAUAUAUAUAUAUAUAUAUAUAUAUAUAUAUAUAUAUAUAUAGCUAGUCUCCUAUAUUAUCUAUAGUACCCUGACUCCAGUACUAUAGUCCCGUUUUCGAUUUUAGGGUGUUCAAAUCAACGAUCCACACCAAUUUAGGGUAUUUAAAGUUUUUAGAAAUAAAAUUUUAUAUUUUUUCGACAUAAUUUACUUUAUGAUCAAACCAUUUUAAAAUUGUCAAUUUUCAAUGACUACUAUGGCGAGUUUGGAAUUUAACGGUGUAGAAGAAUCUAAAUUUCUUCAAAUUUUGAUAGAAAAUACUUUAAACUAUCUAGAUCAAGAUUAACAUUCUUAAUCUUGAAUUUACAAGUCCUGUGCUCAAAUUUUAAAGAUUAUUCAAUUUUCACCGUCUAUUUUGACAUAAUUUAUUUGCUAAGUAGACAAUAUCGAAAAAAACUAAACUUUUAUUCCUAAGAACUUCAUAUACCCUAGAGCAUAUUUAACGGUGUAGAUCGUUAAUUUGAAUACCCUAAAAUCGAAAACAAGAUUAUAGUACCAAAGCUUCGGUACUAUAGAUAGUAUAGUAGUAUAUAUAUAUAUAUAUAUAUAUAUAUAAUCCGGCUGGUAUACUAUCUGUAGCACGGAAGUCUCCGUAUUAUUAAGUUAUUUUCGAUGAUGCGGCUUCUAAAUCAACAAUUGACUCCGUUAGACUUGAUCUACAUUAUUCAAAGUAUUUGAAAACUAAAUUUUAUAAUUUUUCGACAUCAUUUACCUAUCAAGUAGUCUAAAAAUGAACGACUGAAAAUAAAAAUCUCAUAAAAAAUAAUAAUAAAAAAUUUUAAUUUAAAAUCAAAGGUACUCAUCUUACUGUAAAUAGUAAAAAAAAAAUUCUAUAAAAAUUUUAUUAAAUUUGAUUCGUUUUACACCGUUAAAUUCACAAACGCAUCACAUCGGCCAUUAAAAUUGUCAUUUUUAAGAUCUUUUGAUCAUCAGCCAAAUAAUGUCGAAAAAUUAUGAAAUUUAGUUUUCAAAUAUUUUCAAUAGUAUAGAUCAAGUCUAACGGAGCGGCCGAUAGUUGAUUUGAAAGCUGCAUCAUCGAAAAUAAUUUGAUAGUAUAGAGGUCUUCGUGCUACCGAUAGUAUACCGGCCUAACUCUAUAUAUAUAUAGAGAGAGAGAGGGAGAAAAUUAGACUACUAUAUUAUUAAUAGUAUCAAGUACUAAGUGUUGUUAGGUUUUCAGCCUUUGAAUAAAGGGAUGUGCGGUUAAGAUGAUAAUAAUCUCCGGUUAAAAUAAUAACGAUCCUCAAGAAUUGGAUGGAUAGUUAAAUAUAUAGUAUGAUCUAACGAAUAAGAAUGAUCAAAAGUAUAAAUCUAAGGACGAAAAAUUCGAUAGCACGCGCUUCCGAACUCUCUUUCUCUCUAUAUUUAUUAACUGCCUUGAAUUUUUUUUUCUUUUGAGAAAAGGUAGCACGCUAUCCGUUUCAUUUAUUUAUUUAUUUUUUUUUUUUGAGAAAAAGGUAGCAUGCUACCAUCCGUUUCAUUUAUUAGGGUGAUGAACUAGACUACAAAAGUGGGACAACUCGAGCCUCCCCCCNNNNNNNNNNNNNNNNNNNNNNNNNNNNNNNNNNNNNUAUAUAUAUAUAUAUAUAUAUAUAUGGUAUACUAUCUGUAGCACGAAAGUCUCCGUAAUAUGAAGUUAUUUUCGAUGAUGCGGCUUCUAAAUCAACGAUCGGCUCUAUUAGACUUGAUCUAUAUUAUUCAAAGUAUUUAAAAACUUAAUUUUAUAAUUUUUUGACGUCAUUUAUCUAUGAAAUAAUUUAAAAAUGAACGGCUGAAAAUAAAAAUUUCAUAAAAAAUAAUGAUAAAAAAUUUUAAUUUAAAAUGAGAGGUACUCAUCUUACUCUAAAUAGUAAAAAAAAUUUCUAUAAAAAUUUUAUUAAAUUUGAUUCGUUUUACAGCGUUAAAUUUACAAACGCAUCACAUCGGCCAUUAAAAUUGUCAUUUUUGAGAUCUUUUGAUCACCAGCCAAAUAAUGUCGAAAAAUUAUGAAAUUUAGUUUUCAAAUAUUUUCAAUAGUAUAGAUCAAGUCUAACGAAGCAGCUGAUAGUUGAUUUGAAAGCUGCAUCAUCGAAAACUAUUUGAUAGUAUAAAAGUCUUCGUGCUAUCGAUAGUACACCGGCCUAGCUCUAUAUAUAUAUAUAUAUAUAUAGAGAGAGAGAGAGAGAGAGAGAGAGAGAAUUAGACUACUAUAUUAUUAAUAGUAUCAAGUACUAAGUGUUGUUAGAUUUUCAGCCCUUAAAUGAAGGGAUGUGCGGUUAAAAUAAUAGUGAUCUCCGGUUAAAACAAUAACGAUCCUCGAGAGUUGGAUGGAUAGUUGAGUAUAUAGUAUGAUCUAACGAAUGAGAAUAAUGAAAAAUAUAAAUCUAAUGACGGAAAAUUCGGUAGCACGCGCGUCCAUAUUAUUAUAGUCCCCGAACUCUCUCUCUCUCUCUCUCUCUCUAUUUAUUAACUGCCAGGAAAUUUUGUUCCAGUCAAAUCCGUGUGGACGACUAGGCAAGAAAAUAAAUAAAUAAAUAAAUAAAAAGUGAGCAUACGCGCGAACACUUUUUAACGAGAAAUAGUAAUAAGGAAGGGAGGCGAGCAGAGGUAAAGUCGCUUUCCCAGUCUCUCCGAUAAUUGCCUUUCCUCUGCUUCGCCGGAACAGCUUCUUUCAUUAUGGCUCUUGUCCUCUUCCAUCUGCAGUUAAUCGCGAUCAUAUCCGUCCUUAUUACUACGGCGUUCCCAUACCCAGCUUACUCCGAGGCUAAUGCCACGCUCACCUACUGCUCCGGCGAUCCGCCCUACAAACCCACCUCCCCUGUCCUGAGCCCUACCCAGUUCACGGACUUCCUCUACGGCGUGGCCACCGCCGCUCCUACCACCGCCGACAGGUCCUCCAGCUCCCAGCUCCCCGCCGGCGACCAGACCAUCUACGCCGUCGCCCAGUGCCGCUUCGACGCCUCCCCCUCCGACUGCUCCGCCUGCCUCAACUCCUCCCUCGACUCCAUCGGCAGCAGCUGCGCCGCCUCCGCCGUCCGCUACGACCUCUGCCUCCUCCGCUACGACGUCCACGACCUCUCCCUCUUCGACGAGAACGAGUACACCGCCGCCGUCUUCAACGCCACCCGCGCCGCCGCGAAGCCCGCCGAGUUCGAGAGGGACGUGUCGGCCCUGCUGUCCGCCGUCGUCAACGACAGCGCCGCGGCGGGGUCGCGGCUGUGGACGGGCGUCAUGACGAAUAGCUCCGCCGGCCGGAGCGUGUACGAGAUGGCGCAGUGCAUCCCGGAGCUGUCCGGCGCCGACUGCGCCAGGUGCCUGCGGGGGGCGCUCGGCCGGCUGACGGCGGACUACAACGGCAGCGCCGGCAUGCAGGUGCUGAGGCUCAGCUGCGCCGUCAGGUACGACACCUACCCCUUCUUCGACCCCUCCCUCCCGCUGCCCAGGACUCUGCUCAACGGCUCGGCCGCCAACAGCCUGUCAGCACCUCCGCCGAUCGUCGCUCCGUCUGGUCAGUCUGUGCUGCUCUUCUCCCCACCAUCCUUUGUCAGUCUGGCGAUUUUAGAUAAAAUUCUCCCGAAGUACUACUGGAUAGGUGCAAAUUCCAUAUAUAGAUGGAAAUGUUAGUUUAAAUGGGCCAGCAUCCCGCCUGCGAUGGAUGGGACGCCAAAUUGGACCAAGCCCCAUUUGAAAUAGUGUGAGGCUGGGUUGAACCGAGUUAUGUUCGAAAUGACGUGAGGCCAGUUAGACCGAGUCACAGUCGAGACUGGCGGGUACUGUGCCUGUACGCUUCCUGGCACAAAUGCACGGCAGUAACCGUAGGCAGAUUCUCCACAAUUGCAUCCCUAGUUUGUGGGUGUGCGCAAGAUCCUCAAAUUAAGGGCUUAUGUGAGAGCAUACAGCACGUAACAACUUCACGGAGAGCUGUGAUGAAUUCAGCAAUUCUUUGAGCAGCUUCAUUCUGCAAAUUCCAUUUCAAAUGAAAGGCUAACGAGCAUUAAUUAUGCUUCCGUAGGAAACAAUAAACACGCAACAAAAGUUGUUCUUAUAAUUGCCGUCACUGUGGGUGCUGGAGGGGCGAUUGUGCUUUUCGCCAUUUGCAUUUAUCUCUUCAUGGGUAAAGUUGCUAGAGAUGCACAAUGUAAGUUCCUUGAUGCAUUUCCUAGUAACAAAAAUAUGAGACAUCUUUUACUGUUAUUUGAGUUUUCUUGCGUUCUAAUGUUGGGUGCUGGGAUGGUGAAGAUAAACAGAUAAGGUCCAUAUCGUUUGAUCUGAAAACGCUUUGUACGGCCACAAAUAACUUCGCUAUUCAAAAUAAGCUCGGAAGCGGUGGAGCUGGAAUGGUCUACAAGGUAAUCUGUAAGUUUUGAGUUGCGACAGUGUCACUGAAUGCGGCCGCUAUAUAUAGCUGCUAGUUUCUAAUAUGGUAUUAGUCGUAAAUACAGGGAACGCUACCGGAUGGACAGGAAAUAGCAGUGAAGAGGUUUUCCGGAGCAUCGCAUCAAGGGAUAACAGAGUUAGGAGUUAUCGUCUUGAUUGCAAAGCUCGAGCAUCCGAAUCUUGCCAAGUUGAUCGGCUUUUGCUAUGAAAAAAUGGAAAUGCUUCUGGUUUGUGAAUAUCUGCCCAAUAAAAGUCUAGACAACUACUUGUUCGGUAAGCUGAUGCUGCAUUCUUAUCACGCUACAUAUAAUAAGGAACAGUAAUAAUCAUGCUUGCUAUGAAGAAAAUUUCAGUCAGUAUCACAAGUUAUCUACGAACUACAACCGGAAGUUAUCGCCAUCGUUAGAUCAUGGCCUGACAACCCGGAGAGCUAUUUCUAGAAUUUUUUGUUCAAAGCUUGUUUUUGUCUUGAAAACUCAUCUGCUAAUUUAGUCAGUGUUUUGUGAAUACUGUUUAGACACGUCACAAACUAUCAAUUAGGUUUCCUAUAUGACAUAAGUUAGGAUAUCUAUUACAGGACAUAGAAUUAUCAACACAAUAUUAGAAUUCUAAAAAUUUUUACCUUUCUUCUGUUCAUUUAUGGCCUUUUAAUUAGGGUUUAUUUUUGUUCAGUGCUAGUUGAUUGCCGCAUUGUUGAUAAAAAAAAAAUGUUGGGCUUAAAAUAACAAAAAAAACAAGUAUGAUAGUGAUAUCCGGCGAAAAGAAUUACACAUUUCUAUUUCCACCUAUGUUAAAAGUGAGAAAAACAUUCAACCUCUACCUCAAGCUAGUAGUACUUGUCAUCUGCAAAUUAGUAUGAGAUCUUUCAAACCUAUAGAAUUUGUUACUGAAUUUGUUUAGAUGCAACAGAUCCCAACAGGCGAGCACAACUAGACUGGCGAAUGCGCUACAUGAUCAUCAGAGGAGUCUGUCAGGGUCUUCUUUACCUUCAUGAAGAUUCACAGCUGACGAUCAUCCAUCGAGAUCUAAAAGCAAGUAAUAUCUUGCUAGAUAAGGACAUGAAUCCUAAAAUUGCAGAUUUUGGUCUCGCAAAGCUUUUGGGUAGCGAUAAAACCCAUGAAAUCACUAGAAAAAAUGCUGGUACAUUGUAAGUAGAAUCGUCAUUUCCUAAAUUAUUUUGUGACAAGAAGCUCUUUCUACGGCACGGUGUAAUCUCACAUUUCUUUAUUGCCUCGCGGCAGAGGAUAUAUGGCACCUGAAUAUUACAAUAAGGGGCAAUUUUCAAAGCAAUCGGACGUGUAUAGCUAUGGUAUAUUGGUCUUAGAGAUUGUAACUGGAGAAAGAAACAGUGAAUUUGAAGGAUCAAGCGACGCUCUGUAUCUUUCAACCUAUGUAAGUAUUCAUCUAACUAAGGAUUGAACAUCUAUAUAUGAUUUGUGAUGCGGACCUCUUUAUUGCACUGGGCAACAUAUGCUCCUUGAUUGCUAAGCCAUUUUGUUUGAUAGGUAUGGAAACACUGGAGAAAUGGGAAGGGACUAGAUGUCGUCGAUAAAAGUCUAGGUAAUCUGUAUGAACAAGACGAAGCAUUAAAAUGCAUCCAGAUUGGGCUACUUUGUGCACAACAUGACCGCGCAAAGCGACCCAGCAUGAGUCAAGUCUCAUCCAUGCUUGAUGGUCCCAAUGAAAUAUCGGAACAACCAUGCGAGCCUGGGUACGUGCCAGUGGUUGACAACACUACAGUUAUUAGCUCACCCGAACAAGAACAAGCGCCAUUCAAUACAUACAGGGCCAUUCAAGAACGAGAAACCGUGUAGGUUACCAAGGUGUUAGUUCCUAUAUAAGUUUUUUCUAAUGGUAAAGUGCUUCAUUUCUCAUUUCAAAUAAUCAAAUCAGUUCAUUUUUUCUAUGUCCUUGUUAAACUGAUAAUUGUGACAAUACAAUUCAUUUUCAGAGGUUGAUGGGCCUAACCUACAAAUAUGUGGAUGUUGAGGAAGAAACAAUUUCAAUUUUUAUUCAAGUGUAUGAUUUUAAACAUUAUUGUUAGUUCGAGUGGCUUGAAUUUGGCCAUUGUUUGUAUAAUUACGCUGUGAGCUCGCUGGACGUGUAUACUGUUAUCUUUUGCAUUGCAAUGUUGAUACUAAGAUACUACAAGUAGUAUUUCUCUUUUAUUUUUCUUUAAAAUGGCAAGGAAGCUAAAUCUGCAGGAGAAAACUGAACUAUUCUGGAAAUUUCUAGAGUCUCCUUAUUAUAUAUUUUACCCCAAAAGAAAGAGUAAUGCAUAAUGCAAAUAGUAACACAACUUACAAAAUUUUCUUUUUUUUUUCUCAUUUAAUACAAUAUUUCCAUGCACAAUUUGCCCACUUGUCACAUGUUUAAUUAGGCAUCGAAGAAUGGGUACACUUCAUAUCUUAAAUUACAACUUGAACCCAACACUCUCCCUCCUCUCUUCCCCUUGCAACAGCUAGAUAGUUGACUAAUGGCUUUUUCCAAACACGCUUUACAAUCGCCCCCAGAUAAAUCCUUACUACAUUGCACUAACCCAUAUAAUUCUCCCUUAUUAGUAUUAAUAUUAUUAUUAUUAACCUUAUGAUUGUUAAUCACUAGCUCACCAGCUGCGUACAGUAGAGGUGUAAGAUAAGCCCUCUUGGUCAACCCCUUCAUGAGCCUCACCACCUUGGACUCGAACCUUGACGGGUCGGCCGACGCGUUCGACCGAUCCGAUAAGAGCACGGAGUGUGCCCGAUCCACUUCCCCGAAGAAGUCGCUGUCGGAGUAGCGCACCAUGCACCGGUCCAACCAAACAGUGGCUCGCUUUCUGCGGGGACACCGUCGUAAGGUAUGGGCGUUUGCGGUGCGAAUGCAAGCGCGGCACAACGCCCGGGUGACGUCCCCACGGCACAGGGCGAGCCCAAACGCACGACUGGGGCCCGACCCGACCGAACCGAUCUCGAACCCGACGGCGGGGGCUUUGGCGGAUAGAAGAUACAUGAGCUGGUGCAGGUUUCGGGUGAACGCGUCGCCGGGACGCAAAGUGUUCGAGCUCGAGCAUCGGAUGGCGAGGGGGGGAUCGGAGGCGACGGUGGCGUAAAGAAGAAGAGAAAACGAAAGUAAGGAAAGUAGAAAUGAGAUUCUGGAGCUCAUUUUGUGUGAAGAGAAAAUGGGAAAGAGGAGAUGUUAUAUAGUGUAGAAGGUAAGCAGUUUUUUUUUUAUUUUGUGAAGGUUUCAAGGAGAAGAAGAGGUCGUAUCUGAGGAAUAAGCUGGAGAACUCAAAAAAGGUGCAUGGAAUUAAAUGGUGGGAGGAUGCUUCGUAGGGGCGUUGACUUUGAACCGUUAUGUGUUGUUUUUUCGUGAGUUGUUAGAGUUAUAGAACGAGGAGAAGAGAUGAUCAUGUUAUACAAGUCAAAUGUGACAUACUACUACUUGGUAGUUAAUUAAUUUAUGCUGAAGUAGUUUAAAGGGAGGUGUCAGCAGUGAUUAAUGUAAUUUAGUAGUAUUUAGAUUGUUGAUAAUUGGGGUGUGAUCAUUGAAGUAGAGUUUUGGUCUCCUUUUGAGGGAGGUGGCUACUGGAGUAGCAGCAGUAGUGGAAAGAGAGGAAUCAUGAAGAAGAGAAUGUUGUUUUGUUUUUUAGAGAGAUAGGUAGCACGCUAUCCGCUUUGUUUAUUUCAUUUAGAAAUAAACUUAGCUGAAAAUGUGAAUCAACUAGGAUUUGAACAUGGAAUUUCGAAUACCAACCACCAAGCCCUUUGCCACUUGCUCUAGAGACAGUCGGUAGAAGAAAAUGUUGUUAAUUUGGGUCAGGAGAGAUCAUACGUCGCUAUGUAAAAUUUGGAACUCGCGUCCCUGAUUUCAGAUCCAUUUCAAGUCUCAAAUACUUCAAACUAAACAUGCCCUGAAAAUGAACAAAAAGUUCAAGGCUCUAGCUUCUCCAGUUUAUAUAUCCCUAAGGUUAUGAGAGAGAGAAAGAGAGAGGGAAACAAAAAGUUCCUGGUGGAGCCUUUUUUUUUUAUUUUAUAGAAUUUAUAAAAUCAACUAUGGAUAUCUCAUUUGAAUUCAAUCUAAACAUUGAGCCUAAUUAUAGGCAUCAUCACGUGCUUUGAUUUUUUACAACAAAUAAAUGAUAAUUUAUUUUUCCAUUAUCCGUUCAUUUCAAGAUAAUAAUACUAGUAUCUCAGCAUUUCUCUUUUGUAAGUAUACGUGUCAUUCACAGAUUAGAAAAAAAAAAAAUUUAAAUAAAAGCUCGCAAAUCUUGCGGAAUUUGAACGACGUAGCCAAAAAAAUCGAGAAAAAGCAGUUCUAUAGGAGUAAAUCUCGGAGCAACAACUUGAGAAACACCAAUUUAAUUUUGGCAAACUUUAGUUAAAUUAUGAUUAAUUUGUUCAAAUCAUUAAACUCUAAAUUCUAUUUGGAUUGAGAUUAAAAAGACUAGGUUAAGAACUAAAGAUAUAGUUCGUAAUGACACAGCUGAGUAUAAGUCCAAACACAAAUUUUGUUCUAUUCAAUAUGAACUUACCAGGUGUAGCCAAUGAUUACUAAAUAUUACAAAAACGAAUCAAAUUAAAUGAAUCAAAACAAAACAUUUUCAAAAGGCAAAAUAAUCCCUUCAAAGUGAUCCAACAAAUUUUGUUUGAAAUAACUCCCACUGAACAAAUCCAAAAAAAUCUCAUUUUGUAACAAACCCCGCUCCCUUUUCUCUCAUCCAUAUUACAUUAUAUAUAUACACACACACACACAUUAAUUAAGGGUUUUACUCUAUUGCUCCAAUUUCUUUUGUGUCUAUUGUUAACACUGAUGAACCCUACGAUGCAGGAGAACACCCCCCACACCAUGGAGGCCUCCAAUUUGUAUCCCCCCGUGAGGUAACUUUUACUUUUGUUUCAUGCACUUUCAUUGUUUAUCAUAUGAUUAUAUGAUUCAUAUUGCGCGUCGAUAAAUCGCAAUGCUUAUCAUGUUUACUCUUUACGAUAAGACGCAGCUCCAGAUUUCGUUCAACUUACGUAAGAGUUCUACGUUCCACUUCAAGAUGAUACAGAAUAACUGCUAGAGUAAUCAUGCUAUAUUACUAUUAUGUUUGUUAUGUUGAUGUUAAUUAGAUGACGACGAAAAAGCGCACCCACCUGAAUCACGAUCUGCAUCCUACGGUGAGUAUGCUGGGUUGCAUAAAACUAUUGAAGAUGGUUUUUCCUAAAAUACAUGCAAUCAAAUAUGCGGAAAACUACUUUUCAGGCUAAAAACUACUUUUGAGUUCUUCUACAUGCAACCAAACACUGCCCCAUUCAUUAUAGAAAGGCCAGUUGGGUCGAUCUCUGCUUACAUUACAAAGUUUCUUACUGUGACAAAUCCUACAUAAAUGUCUAAUUUAUCUUUUUAACUUUACCUUUCUCGCUUCUCCAGCUACCCCCCUAUCAACUUUCCUCACUAUACCAGCUAUCCGUCUACCCUCUAUACGUAUUCUGGACUCACCAUGGGCGACACAGCAUGCUACUAUUACAACAGAGAAUGGGACAAAUGCAGCUACUACUACCCCUAUAUCUCAUAUCUGCGUCCAACGCCUGAAAACAAAGCAGCAUCGGCGCCUACUUCUAUUCCCAAAAAGGAGAAAGACACGACCACCCACUCCAUCACAGCACAUCUUGACGACCUCGUCUUGUCUCCUCGGCUAGCAGACUCGUGUAACACGUCAUGGCAGUAUCCAUCACACUCUGCUCCACGAUCGUUGUUCCCCUAUGAGGAAGUCACGGAAAAUGACAUCUCGGAGAAACAGAAGAGCAAUGACAUAGAUGAGAACUUAUCGCAACGAAAUCUAAUGGAAGAGCUGUGGGCGUUACAGCUAAACGGGUUCCUCAACAAGGAAAUAGAUUGCUUUUCUUACCAAAGUCCGACCGAACCCCAUGAUAGAUAUGGAGGAAAGGCGAAGGAGGAGUACCCGACUUUCUUCCGCCAGAUUCCACAGAAACCGCACUACCAAGGGCUAAUACAAGAGGGAGUGCCCGAGGCCAUUAAGGAGAUAGUCUAUUCAUCCUUAUGGUUUGGUCUUGUCGAGCUGAUGAGAAAGGCAUUGGAGACUACUUGCUUCACGAGCGAGAAAGAUAUUGACGAGUUGAUGGGCCAGGCGCGCGGCCUCGAGAACUUGGGCUUCGAUGUGAGGCACGUGAUCGCACGGCUGAAGCAGCCCGCGAUCUACCGGGCAGAGGCGGAUCAUGCAAAGAAGGAACUCGAAGAGCUGAAGAAGAGGAAGUCGGAAGUAGAGGACAGAGUGAAGGAGAUCAAAAGGAAGGAAGAUGAACUAAGAGAGCUCAGGAAGGCGAUGGGCCUUGUCAAGCACAGCGCGCCAAUUGCUUAUCCGCGGGAGUGGAUUCCCAAUCCAGAUGAGGAUGCGUUGCAGAUGCUGAACUUGGAGGUACACAACGCUGAGUAUUUAGCUCAAGAGAAAGAGUACAAAGUAAGAUCGUUCGGUUUAAGGUUAUAAGAUCCGCAAUUGAUGGUGAUGUGCCGGAUGAAUCAAGAUGCAGAUUGUGUCAAGCGAUUAUUUUCUUAUUAUUUUCCUUCUCUUUUCUUAGUAUUGUUUACUUUUCUAGCUUCUAAAUAAUUGUUCAAACUGCCCUUUGCAUUUUAAUUUAGUUUUCUAAGUACAUAAACCUUCUGUUAUUCGGUGAUUCUUUAGUUGCAACUUUAAUCCCUGGAAAACUUCUGCAAAGUGUGAGUAAAUUAGAUUUUAUCAUGUUGAAGUACAUAAGAGAUGAAAAGUUGUAGUUUUUUGAGGUAAAUCUCCUAACAAGGAACAACACUUCUCAUUAUUUUGAUAACUAAGCAAGGUCAACAAUUAAUGACUCAGAGACAUUAAAUCUUAAAGAGAAAUAAAAUCAAACACUUUGUGUGCGGCGGAAAACUUACUGCUUCGGCUUCUUUCCGGUGACGGCAUUGGAAGCUAAGUCUCUGAGGAACUUCACCGACUUCGUCACGGGCGAAUUCGCCGCCAUGAGGUUAUAGAGAACGCUCUCAACCUCGCCGAUCGACGGCCGCUUCUUAAACCUUGAAACCACCCUCAUCUCCCCCUUCUUCUUCUGCUCCCCUUCCUCCUCCACCAUCACCACCCAACCUUCCCCACUCAACACCCCAUCCUUCACAAACCUCAAAACCACGCCUUUCCUCUUGCUCAGGAUCCCCCUCACCUCCAAGCCCAUGAAGGAAUACACCACAUCAAAGGACCCAACGAAGCUCCCCAGUCCCCCACCAAAGUCCUUCUCCUCCUCAAAAGCCCAUUUUGGGUUGAACAAAAUCGCGGGUUUUGGGUACAAAGCAUUGGUGAUGGCCCUAAUCUCCUCCAACUGGGUUCGCUCCGGCGCCGAGAACACAACGAAAUCCGCGGGGCCGAGUUGCUCCGGGAUAACAGAGGCCACGUCCGAGUUGACAACGGAGCUGGGCAUUGCGUCGAACACCUGGUGGGCGCAUUGUAGAAGAGCAGGGGAGGGCCAGAGGAUGAGGAUGCAUGGUGGUUUUGAGCCCUUUUUGAUGAUGAGCACGUCGGAGAAGAGCUCGGCGGCGAGCUGGGCGAGAGAGGAUGGGGAGUCGUCGAGGAGCGGGAUCUCGACGCGGAACCUGGGCUGCUUCUGCUUCUUGAGCUUGCGCGUGGGGAGGGAGGGGAGGGGGUUGUUGAGGGGCUUUUGGAGGGUGGUGGAGAGGGAGGUUCUGGCUUGGGAAAUGGCUUCUUCUCGCGAGGAUGGGGGAGAGGGAGAGGAGAGAGCGCAGGAGACGAAGAAGUAGGUUUGAGUAGGAGGUAAAGAAGAAGAAGAAGAAGAAGGGGUUUUAAUGGUGCGAGGGGAGUUGAGGAGAUUGAAGGCCAACAUUUUCCUUUUAUUUAGUUCUGCGGUAGUGGCUUUUUUUUUUUAUUUAGUUUAUUCUUUUUGGUUGCUAUGAGCGCUCCAUGAGCAAUUUGGAUAAGUGUAGAGAUGAAAAUGGACCCCACAAAAUUGCUAGCAAAUUUCGAGCUUAAGAGAAGGGGCUGAAAUCCUAACGAAUUAAGGGUCUGAUCAGAGAAAACUUUUUUAUCAGAUGCCAUCUUAUUCAGAUCCAUUUUAUAUUGCCAUAUCAAUAUCGAUGUUACUUAGUUUAAGUUACCAGAGAUUCUAGUGAUAUUUGGUAGGUGUUAGUGAUAUUUGAUGAAUAAGAAGUUGAGUCGCCCAGACGCUAAAAUGAGUUUUGUGAUCUUUAGCAGCAAAAGCUAAGAUCUAGGAAGCACUAUUAUCUGCUGCAAGAAGAAGGAAGUCAUUUGAAAAGUUUAAGAUUUGCAAUUACAUUUUUAAACGGCUUUAUUGAAAUCAGCACCACUGUAUUGGACAUAGAUAAUAAGGAUUAAGAGGUGAUUAUUUAUCUAUAAAUACCCGUUACAUGAACAAACUAGAAAGUAAUACGGAAGCGAGGAGCAUGGGCAGCGGCGGUGGUGGCUGUGGCCGAGACGAUCGCACAUGGUGCAGUACCCUGCCAAGGUGAAUUCGUCACCCGGUGCCACCGCCAACGGGCCGAACUCGAAGACUGUGGGAUCAGAUUCUCGCUGGCGCGCCUCCACUGCCCCAUUCAUCGCCACCGGCACCUCCUCAGCCGCCGAUGCCGAGCUCACCGGCUUCGCGGCAGCAGCGGAGGUGCGAGCGUCGCCUUUGACCUUCCACCGAGAGAGUAAUCCCAUGCUAUAUUGUGCUUCUGUUGAGGCGAUUAUGCGUCUGUUGGAUUGGAUUACGAGUGACUUCCCUUUGUACAUAUUAGCGCCCGCAACGUGAUUGUUUAUACGGUAAAAUGUGAUUGAUGGAUUAAUCGUGUUAUAGUAAACCCCGUACAUGAGUUAAUGAUAUGAGUACGACACUGUUGUGCAAUUAGAGAGUUUGUACCACUCAUAAGCUUUGUCGUUUGGUUUCUCAGAUUUGACAUCUCCUACCAUACUAGCCACAGGGAAAAAUUAAAAUAAAAAUAAAAAAAUAAAAAAUAAUAAUAAUCCCAGUGAUCUAAAGUUAUUCACUGGACAAAUCUACGUCUGGCAUACACUGAAUUUAUUCAUAAAGAUAUUACAAGACAAUCCAGACAACUUAAAUUCAAAGUUAUAAAAAUGACACAGCUUAAGCUUGGAGAGAGAAAUUCAGAGUUCUUUUUUCCUCAACAUGAGGAAAUUAGUUCGAGAGAAAUUUAGCAUGAGAAAUGGAUUGAACAAUGAUGAUCUUAAGCCACUGGAGGGCAGGACUCGGCGUCCUGCGAGGUGUCGACAUCUGCAGGGGGCAUGAACUGCCACAUAGGAUAUCCCGGGUAGCCGAUGAGAGGCAUCACCAGCUUGUGACCUGCCGAUUGACCCGGGGCAGCAAAUGCGGCCGGCAUGACAGGAGGGUGCGGCAUGUAGCUCGGACGAGAGUUUAUGAUCUUUAUUUGCUGCUCCAGGCUCUCUUUCUCAGCCUUCAGCCUCUGCUUCUCGUCGCGAAGCUCAUUCUUCUCGGCCUGUGAGAAAGUUGGAAUCGGCGUGCAGUGUUAAAAAGAACAAUCAUAGCUAAUCGAUACACUGGCAGGUAAGAUAAGAACUUUAAAAAAUUGCAGCAAGGAAUUGACAUGGAGGGAAACAUGAGUGAAAACCUGAAGUUGACUGCUUUGGAAAUCAAAUAAAUGAAUCACCCAAACUCAAUAUAGCAAUUGCAUACCAUGUGAAGAAAUAUACAACCACAGAAAACAGAGUAUGGCAAAUGUUAAACUUCAAUGCAUGGCAGUCAAGGAUCAAAACAAGAAGUUCAAUCUAAUCUUUCCUAAGAAAAUGACACUUUAGAAAAUAAAUGACACAAGCAUUAAAGAUAAACCUUUAGCUCUUUGAUCUUUUCUUGGAGACUCUCAUUUGACUCUUUCAGCUUUCGUGCUUCACUACGUAACUCGGUCACCAUACGGACUGCAUCACUUAAAAUAGCUGCUUUAUCCAUUUUUGGUGGCUUACCUGGGUCCAAAAUGGAGCCCAACUCCAAGAACCUUAAAGUGAAAGUUAACCCAAAAAAAAAAAUGUAAAAAGAAAAAAGAGCCAGCACAACAUUGGUCAGCAAAAGAGAUGUAAAAGUGGAGCACAUACUUAUCGUUCAGCUUAUCCCUUCUCAUUUUCUCUCUACAAGCUUUGGAACUUGGCUGACAGCUUUCAGACCUAACACUGCAACAAAGAUACAAAUUAGUAACAGACAAAAAAAAAGUCAGCUUAAAAUCAUAUCAAUUUUUAAAACCAAACCGUUUAUUGGAGCCUCGUUCUUUGACACAUUCAGAGUCCAAAAAGGAGCCACUUAUUUCAACCCUGAAAAGAAUAAGAACAUGCUUCAAUAAUCUGGUAAUUCCAAUUAACUAAUACAAAAGAGCAACGAUCAAAAAACUAAAGUGUAAUAUAAGAAUCAGCAUAAAGGGUAUCCCUUUGAUUUCCAAAUAGGGUUGAACAAGACUACAAGUCCAUCUUAACCAUAUAUGUAUAUCAUUCCUAUACACAUAUAGGUCAGCUAAGUAAAUGUCAUAAAAUGUGAUAAAACCUAUUAUAGCAUGCACGACUACAAGUCCAUCUUAUCCAUAUAUGUGUAUCAUUCCUAUCCUAUUUCUACAUUUAUAAACAAUCAUAUAUAAAUUCUAAAUACACAGAAGAGGGAACUCAUCAUUUCGCCACAUGUUGCAAUUUCCACCCUCCUCUAUCCUCCUCUCUUAGUUGCCUACUCCUCUCUUCUUAUUCCCUCUCUGGCCGGCUGCAACUGUCAAAACAUCGCCCGUUUAGGAGGACCAGGACUAGAUGUAAUCGGUCAGAUUGAAUCCAUUAUCAAACUAGUCUGGUAUGUAUUUUUCUCCAGUUGAGUAUAGUUUAGUUGAUUCAUUAAUUCGGGUCUGAAUCUGCCCUAUGUGAGCCAAUAGAGUCUUGAAUUUGCAAUGAGUGGAUUUAGGAGCAUAGGAUCAUUAUAGUAAAGCUAGUAAACCUUAAUUGAUCUAUGUAAUUUAGCUUAGUUAGAUCUAAGUCAGCUUUCCUAACUUUGAGAAAUUGUGGACGAAGUUUCACCCAUAAUUAUGAAAAUUUAUUUAUAAAAUCAAAUGGAAUCCCAUAUGCCUACAAAUAAAUGGCAUUCAAUUGGAGUACUUAGACGAAAUUGUACUGGCUAACUCACUCUUUGUAAGCGUUCUUCUGGACUAAAAAGAGAGCAAAUAAAGACGAGUAUAUAUAAUUGAUGGGGAAUACCAAAACUGAUAUAAGUUCCAAACACUAUAAAACCAUUACACAUGCAGAAUCAAGCGGCAAAAAUAAUCUCAACAUCACUUUUUUUCUCUGUUAUAAUCAACAAAAGUGUUAAGGUAAAGCAUAAAAGUAGAAUCUUCAGAACCAAACAUCUUGUAACAUAUGAUUACUUAAGACUCUAAUAAUACACAAUUAUGAGAUUCUUCCAUUAUCUAUGCACCUCCAAAGCAUCCUCAAAUCUCCAAUACAAUUUUCCCCUAUAUUACUCAAGAUUAUUCUAUGAAGUACCUUAACCAAUUGGAGAAGUUGCAACAUCCAGUAACUUACUAAAUACAAAUCCUAAUUUGUAACACAAAUAAAAGCAAGCAAUAGACGAAACCUAACACAAAUCAACGUAUACAUGCAAUCCGGAAUAGCAUGAGCAAUAAUCUACAGGAAAUUACUGAUGAGGAGCAGCGAAACCCUAGCCCUAAUCGACGACAUCAAUCAAAGCGAUUCAGAAAGGGAUCUCGGAUCCGAUCGUACCCGCCAUUGGAGGAUCCGUUGAUUCCCUGCGAUCCCCAGUAGAAUCCGCUCCCCGACGCCGGGAAAUCGUCGCCAGCGACGGCCACGUCGUCUAGGAGGGGGCAAUCGAAGACCCAAUUAGCGUUCUCGGAGGAACCCAUCCCCGGUGCCUCGCCGGAGCCCUAUAUCCCCUGCCGGUGAUGUCCGGCCAAUCUCCGGUGAUCGUCGGAGAACGAGGGUUGCGCUCUUAUCGGGUAAAGGGAGAGAGGAGAGGAGAGUCGGGGAUCGAACUCGUAAUGGGUUGGUGGAGGUAAAAGCGUGAAAAAUAAUAAAAAUAAUAAUAAUAAUAAUAAAAUAAGGUGCAAUGAGUUGGGCCUAUGGAAGCCCAUUAAAGGCCCAUAUUAGGGCCCAUAUUUAGGGCCCAUCCAUAGGCUACUGAAUUUCAACAGUUUUUUUGAAAAAAAAAAUCCUAAAUAGAAGAACUAUGCAAUUUUAAAGAGUAUUCACAAUAUUUUUUACAAUGGAAUGUUAAAAUUACAGUAAUAUAGUACGUACUUAGUUUAUUAUAUUUAUGUUUUUCCUUUUUUUGUUUUUUCUAUAUUAAUUAACAUAGUUAAUAUUCAUGCAUCUCUAGAGCAAGUGGCAAAGGGCUCGGUGAUUGGUAUCCGAGACUCAAGUUCAAAUCCUAGUUGAUUCACAUUUUCAGCUAAAUUUAUUUCUAAUAAAAUAAACGAAGCAGGUAGCGUACUACCUAUCUCUCAAAAAAAUAAUCUGGCGAAGCAUCUACCAUCUUUCUUUUUAUUUUUCUGAAAAAAAAGGGAAAUGUUAUGAGUGUUUGGUAAAAAUGCUGGUGUUAAUGUGGGAGUGAGUUGUGUAUAUGCUUCUUUUUUUUUCCCCAUGAAAUCUCCUUUUGCUAUGUGAAUUUAGAAUGUUGGUAUAGUUAAACGUUGGAACACUGGAUUGGGUUGCAUAUGAGAGUUGACAAUGAGAAAAGGACAACAUGGAAAGCAUAUUUUGCAUCACUAGAAAUUGGCCUGUUUUACUUUACUACUAAUGCAUCAUCAUCACACCUCAAUUAAAUGGAUAAAGAGAAAAUACUCUUUUUUCUGAAGAUAAAAAGAAAGAAGGAAAAAAGACACGCUCCCACCGGUGAAGAGAAGCAAUGAAGAAAGCACUUUUCAAAAGCAUAUACCAAAGUAUUAGAAAAACAAAUUCAGCUACUUUUAGCCGAAAAACAAAUGAUAGCCAAGCUAUUAGUAUUCCUGAUAAGGCAUCUAGGCGAGGUGUGGGCGAGGUCACUGUUUGAGUUUUCAGCGGAGCAGGAGGGUUAAAGAGCCAAAUACGAGCGAGCUGAGUAUAGCUCGUGUUCGGCUCGUUUAAUAUGAGCUCGUUUCAUAAACGAGCCGAACACAAGCUGACUUGUUAAAAUAUCGAGCCGAAAAAUACAACUCGCAUUCGGCAUGUUUCAUAAACAAGCUGAACCGGAACAUUGGAGACCACAAGCCAGGCCAAACUGAGAUUAUUCUUUGGUACAUAAAAACGAUGGAUACAUUAUUUUAAUAAGUGUUCUGCUGGCUCCUCUUUAAGAAGAGGCUUUUAAAGACAGAUAAUCUAUUAAAGAGAGGUUGGAUCAGCAACACGCCCUGUGUAUUGUGUGGGACGGCUAAGAAAACUAUUGAUCACCUAUUCCUUAUAUGCGUUUUUUCUAUAUUUCUAAUGAUGAUUACAUUGGAGAGCCUCCUCUGAAGAUUUGGGUGAUGACUAUCGUUAAAUGGAUAUAGCUAGGAAUGGAUUGCAUCCUAUGAGCACUAAGCUACCCGGCCUAGUACCCUGCUGAUGGGUAUUGUGGGAUGUCAGGAAUGGUGCAAAUUUUAAAAAUACCCAGUCGGACUCUUUCCUAGCAGUCUAUAAAAUUAAAUAGUCGACGGGACUUUGGGAGCAUUUACUCUCCGCAAAUUGGCACAACUGUAAUCAGGAGCUUCUUUUUUUUUUUUUCACCCUCUCCGAGGCCUAUGUAGGCUCACCGGCUCAUCCCUAUCGUUUAGUUUAUCUUUCUAAUAAAUAAAGCGGAUAAUGUGCUGUCCAUUCCCGCAAAAAAAUAAAAAAAAAUGCCAUUAAAAAAAAAACAAAUCUUUAACACUUCCAUGAUCCAAUAAAAUAUAUUAAAAAGGUUCUUUCAUUAUCGAUCUUAAAAUUACCAAAUUAAUCACGAUAUAUAGCCUUAUUUCAUAAUUGAGAUGAUUAUUAUUAUUAUUAUUAUUAUUAUUACCUCCGAAAAAGAGCUAGUACGUAUGGUGUUAAUGCUUGGUCAAACUACAUUAAUCGGGAGUCUUAGAUCACUCUUUUCAAAAAACAUUUUUUUAAAAAAAAAACUCUGCUGAGCUACUGUACCAAAUUGCUAAGACUAAAUUACUAAGUAAUAAUAAUAAUAAUAAUAAUAAUAAUAAUAAUAAAAAACCGCUAAUUCAUGGAAAUCAUCAUUGCUAAGACUAAUUAAAGCUGUACAUCAUUCAUAAUUUCACUCCGACGCUCCCAAAUCACAAUUACUCCUGAAGAUCAAACCCUAACUAAAAACCCCCACCCAAAAAAGACCAAAAGAAAGGGGGAAAAAAAAAAAAAACCCUGAAAUCGCAAAAAUUACACUAACCAAGCGAAAUUUUCGAAAGGGCGGGGCCCUGCGCCGCGAGCGGCGGCGGAGGAGGCGGCGGCGGCGCGGCGGCGGCGGUGGCGGUGGCCGGCUCCGGCGAGAUGGGGCGGCACCCGGCGGGGUCGGCGCCGCAAUCUUGGACCCUCCUUUUGGCCCCGCGGCGGAGAAGCCCGAAGCCCACGACGAGACCCACCACCACCAACAGGAUCACCACGAAGAAGAAGAUCUUCGUCGCCUUCCCCACGUAGCACAUUGCUGUAGAGAGAGAGAGAGAGAGAGAGAGAGAGAGAGAGAGGGGGAGAGAGAGAGAGAGAGAGAGGGGAGGAGUGUAAUCAUAAUGGGUGUUUUGGAGAGGGGAAGGUGGAUUCUUUUUACCGAAAUACCCUCCAGCGUGAAGGGUUUUUGUGGGGAAGGAGAGGGGUAAAAUUGGUAUUUUGGAUGGGAAGGGGGUGAUUCGCUUUCGAGCCUUCACAGUAGCAAAUGUCUCCAAUUAGCUUAACUUAUUAAUGGCUUUUUAUUUUUUUAAUAGAGUCAAAGAGUUAGAGUUAACUUGUAACUUAAUUUGACUUAAAUAAAUGCCCAGAUAUUAAGUUAAAUUUUUUUACAGUUUAAUGUGUAGUAAUUAUUUUACUAAUAUGUUGAUUAAAUUGCUCAUUUAAAAUACAAAACCCAUCUUCCUUCUUCAACUUUGAUAAUAAUCUGGCAAUUGAUAGAUUUCGUCUUUCAAAAUAACGUUGCAAGGCUAUUCGCUUUAUUAAUCUUAUAAAAAAAAAAAAUUCAAACACACAGAAAUUUAAAAAUAUUAUAUACAAAACGUUCAUUUGUCCAAAACCAUCGGCGAUUAAAAUAACUUACUCAUCAUUUUUAGUAUACUUCAUUUACAAUUCGAUCAUAUUUGUCCAGUGAAUAGCUAACUAAACAUUCCUUCUAUAACAAAUGUGUAGAGCUACUAUACUUUCAAAAGUAUAAAGAAGUAAGUGUUUUCUGCUUUUUAACUUUUGGAUUAAGAACUGUACGAUUAGGAUAAUAAUAAUCCCUCUAGAAUUGAAUAAUCUCCCUAGAAAAAUAAUAUUAAUCUAAGAAUUAUAAAUAAUCAAAGAGGUUGAUCCAAAAAAUAAGAACUUAAAAACAUAGACUCCUUUAUACUUUCGAUUGAAUCAUAGUCAUAUUCAUAACAAGUUUAUCAUAAGUUAGCUAUACAAACCAAAAUUACCAAAACACCCUUUGCCCCCUCAGCAUGUGGAUCAGAGGAUUUCAUUUGAAUGGCCAGUGGAUCUUACCAGUCCCAAACUCUUCUUCUGAGUGGAUAAACCACAAAAACAGAAGCAUUGUAUGCAUAACAAACUCACACAUGCUUCAUACUUUUGCUAGUAGUGCUUCUCCCACAAACCCUAUGGCCACUUCUCUCUCUACCAUCAAUGGAUCAGCUUCCCAAUUCUCCCCAGCCAAACUAAAACAAAUCAAAAACCACAAACCAAAAUAUCAAAGCCUACAAUCUUACAUGCUGGCACAAGCCCAAGAAUCCCACUCCCUCCCAUCCAAAAGCACUAUAACUGCACACACCGUCUCAAGAAGAGCUUCUUUAAGCUUCUCCAUGGCCCUCCUACUUCACCAACUACACAUCGAACCCUCGCGAGCCGACGAGGGGAAUGGAUUAUGGCUCACUGGCCCGUUGCCUGUCCCCACAGUCACUAACAGUAAGCUCAGUUUGCUCUCAUUCUCAAGCUCACUAUCAUAGUUUCUUCUUCAUUAUAAUAAAGUGUUUGAUCCAUUGUAGAGAUCGCAAAUGAAGAAACAGGCACGCGAUCAUUUCUUAGGAACGGGAUUUACAUAGCGAAUAUAGGACCCCAAGGAAGUGCUUUUAGGCUGAAGCACUACUCAUUUGAUCUACUAGCUUUAGGAGAUAUGCUGGGCCAAGAAACAAUGAGCUAUUUUAGGAAGUACCUGUGUAUGAAGUCAACUGUCAUGUACUACGAUUUCGAUAAGGUCAUCUCCGCAGCUUCUGAUGAGCAGAAGCAGCCGCUUACAGACCUUGCCAACCGAUUGUUCAACAAUGUUGAGAAGGUGAGCUACUCCAUGUUUUCGCUCUGCUUAUCUGUUCAUAAUUCAGAAGACGCAUUAGUAGGGAAACAUUCCAAUUAAUAGCGUUGCGAAUUCCCAGGGCAAAUUAGACAAAUUCCCCAGAUCAUCAGUUUACAUUUUAUUGAAUUAUUCUUAGUUAACAGCUGAAAUUUCAUUUACUGAAGAACCAAAGUAAGCUGUCGUCCCAAACUUCAUUCGUGAUAUAUUAUAGAGCAGAAUCUUCAUACAUUGAUCGAAGUUUCCUGCAGGCAUUCUAACAAAGUGAAUUUUGAUCAUUGAACAGAUUGAAGAGGCUGUGAAGACGCAGAACAACACUAUGAUGCAGUCUUGUUAUGCAGAUACUGUACCGAUUCUCCAGGAAGUUAUGGCACGAAUGGCAUAAAGAUUGUAAACUGGUGACAUAUGCUCCCUUGGAAGAAAUCCUGAAAUUCAUUUCUCAGAAAUAGAACAAUAAGAUUACAAGAUAUCCUUUUCUCACAUAGUAUGGCAAAAAGAGCAUUAAUUUGUAAAGGUUUGGGAUUGGCAUUCAAAGUGCUAACUUGAGAGCACUAUUGAGAUAUGUUUGUAACAUAGAAUGACUAGAUAAAAAUCCCUCUCUAGAGUGGCUGCCAAAGGUAUUUUAACAAAACAAUGAUAAGACUACAACAUUGGCCACAAACAAUAUGAAGAUUGCUCUAAUCAACUCAUCAACUGUUUCACAUAUUGAGCACAACUUACGUGAAUAGUGCAAAAUUCUUUAGUACAGGAACAUGAGAAACAACAAGAAUUAGUAGUAAUCUUCAUAAAAGCACAUUCAAAUCAAACUAUCUCAAAGUCGCAACUUAAGAUACUAUCACAAGAAUUCUCAUGAUACACUUUCAUAAGACAAUCAGAUAGGUGACUAUAACUGUUAAUACAAAUGUAGCUACAAUCAUGAUCAGCUAAAAAAACCCCGAAAGAAACAACUUCACCGAAGGUUCUCUUUGAUACAAAUUUCAACACACUAAUGUCCUUUUUCUUUCGGCAGCAAUGAUAAUUGCAUUGCCUUGAGAUACAAAUACAACCCACACAUUUGAAGGGCGAGUUUAGUCACAAAAAUAUAUCUUGAAAUUCUAUUGACCGAGGGAAAAACCAGGGAAAGAUAUGAUUUUAACCAUAGCUUAAUCGGGAAUCUAAAGUCCGCAUCUGAGUCUGACGCCUAGGGACGCCGAUCUCACAAGCAUUUACCCUUGCGGCAAACCUAAGCGAACAGAUUGAUUCCCCUGUUGAGGAUGCCUCGGGAGAGAUAUUCACAAACAUUAAGGUUUUCGAGUCACCUCCAAGGCAUGGCUGCAGUUCAAGAAAUCAAAAGGAUAAGAUUUAAGGGAAAUGUAAACACUAAGUUUAGAUCUUAAUCAAAAUCAUCAUAAAGCAAUAUUACCUGAAGAAGAUAUGUUAAUUUGGAAUUUCUGAAUGGUACAUGGUCCUCUUUCUUUGCGAUAGAAAAGAUAACAUCACUUAAGCAUGAUAAGCUUUUGUUAAUUGCCUGAGGAUACACCGUCGAACAAAUAUUUUUGAGCAAAAAUGGAUAAUGAGAGGGGAGUUUUCAAACAAAAUUAUGAAAUAUAUAACAACUAUAGAAGAUGCUUACCUGAGUUUCCUUGAGGCGGUCACCAGUUGAGCCACUUUUGGCGAGACGCUCGCUCCCGGCAAGAUCAAUUAGGUUUAGUACUCCUUGAACUUGCUGAUCAGUGCUCUGCACAAGAAUAACUGAUUCAUCAGUAACUUAGAAAGAAGCCACUGUUGGUAAGUGAAAAUAACAUUGCAAUUACCUCGUUAACCCCAGAAAUCCUCAGUGUGAAGACAAAAUGGCUUCUAGAAGACUGUUCAUUCAUCUGAGUCUUUCCAACUGACCUAGAGAUACAAAGCAGCAAACGCAAGAAAGAAUUAUCAAUUCACCAAGAAAACAAACUCUUGUUCAAGUAUUAUUUUCCAAGUACAAAGCAAAUCAACAUGGACUAUAUCAACAGUCAAGUAUUGGUCCAUAACACACUAACAACUAUUAUAUUGAAGUACAAAUAGUUAAAUAGUAAAUACAACAGACAAUUUUUCAUUAUUCUUUCAAAUUUUAAUUGAUUACUAUUUUAACCAACAUUUUACACUACCAGCUUUAUUCCACUCCAUAGAAUAGCACAUGAUAUAUUGAAUGGACGCAACAAAAGGAAAAGGUAAAGGAAUAGUAGCACAUACCUAACAAAGUGACCUAAGAGAGUUCAAAAACAGACCUCGCCACAAGGCUAGAAGGUAGCAAAUUUUGCAAAUUUAAUUGCUAUUAAAUCCAAAAUUUGAGUAAAACUGGAGCUUACUCAACUUACUGUAACAAACUAAUUGAAAGGAAAGUAAAUAAUCAGUAAUUAAAUUCUAGCAUUUUAAACAUUUAACAAUACUGAGUUACCAUCAUCAGUACUAUAAUGUCAAAACAUAUUAAUCUUUCUUGGACAAUGUUUAGACUUUAAAAAUGCUCACCGGCUCUGUGCGGCCUGCCGUAGGAGGAAAGAGACCUCAUUGAUACUGCAUACAUCUACGACUGUAAGGUCAGAUACAUGCGUGUUUCCAUUUGCAUCGUGUUUAAUCAAAUACUUGGAAGCACCAGUAUCUUGACUGCCCGACCGAUUAGGAUUCAACAGAUCACGAAUUGUUUCAUUAUAAAUUUCAAGCAUGGAAGCCUACAAAUAUUUAACAACAUAAGACUGUAAUAACUGACAAAUUAGUCGCAUCAGGAACAAGAUAUGUAUGCAGGAGAUAAUACUGAAAACAAAAACCUGCAUUUUGAACCUCCAACCCUGCGAUAGCAGGGACUGGCUAGCUUGGAAAAUUUGUUCUAGUGAUCGUGGUAUUAAUCCUUUCUGUUCGAGAAAAUCAGGUUUGCCCAUCAUUGUAUAAGUUUUUCCAGAGCCAGUUUGGCCAUAGGCAAAUAUGCAAACCUGAGAAGAUUGAAUUGGUAACUUGUCAAAAUGGAGAUAGCAUUACUACUGAAGAAGAUGCAUACACUGAAAUAGAAGAAAAACAUAUAGUAGAAUGCAUGAAAUUAAUAAGGCAAUCAAAAUUAAAAUGGGAAAUACAACAUAAUGGCCUCUUCAUUUAUCUAAUAAACAGCAAAAGUAAUAAUAUACACAAGAAAAGUAAAAUAGCAUAAAUAGAUAUACCUUAUACCCAUCAAGUGCACUUUGUACUAGCUGUGAAAUUUCAACGAAGACAUCCUCUUGUGAAGCAUCUUGAUCAAAGACUUUAUCAAAUGUAAAGGAGUAUUUUUGUGCUGAAUUAAAAAUACAAAUUAUUAUCAACUUUGUUCUCCAACAAAUAAUUUCUGUACACAAUUUCACUAACUUUUAAGUUAAGAAAAGGGAGAUAGAGAAAAGAACUAACAAUUAUGCAUCAAGUCAAUGCCACGGCCAAGAUAUUCAGUAGAGGUUGGAUAUGAAAGAGCAGCCCCUUCUACCCCGUUAUUUUCACCGUCAGGUAAUAAUGGUCGCACUCUACAAAAGACUCGAAUAUUUCCUUUUAGUUCCUGAAAAGAAGAAAUGAUUUAGCACCAGUAUCUUCUGAUCAAUAGUCCUUCUAGUUCCUGAAAAGAGAAAUGAUUUAGCACCAGUAUCUUCUGAUCAAUAGUGAAAAACCAAAAAAAGUGUUACCAAUAUAGUAUUAUGCAACUUUUUGCGUAAUUUCUCUCCUUCAGAAAUUUGCUGUUCUGCAUCAGCUAACCGAUCCUGCAGAUCUUUUAACAUUUUCUUUUUCUCCUCGUUCUCUGACAUUGUCUCCAUGGCUGUUAGAUCAGCCAUCUAAACAACUCAAUAAGAAAGAUAAUUAGGAAUCAAAUAAUGAUUAGCAGAUAAUUAGUAAUCAAAUAAUGAUUAGAAGAUAAUUAGUAAUCAAAUAAUGAUUAGCAGCACUACAAUGUAUUAUCUAUAACAGUUAGAGAGCAGUUUUUGUACAAAAAUACAUGACACUGAUGACAGUAAAAAUAAAACAAAGGAUAUUCUUGCACAAUUGCAUUUAAAAAAAAGCUCAAAGAUGUUAGUGUCUUCUCAAAAUUGUAAACACUUAAUAAUUGUAAGUACGCAAUAUAGGGAAGUUCAGAAACAGAUAAAAGCGCGAUCUCAUUGCAGGAAUGGUGGAGAAAGUCUCUUGACAAAUACAUGUAAAGUGCAAUGUUUUUUCAGUUAAAAGAAAGGGAUGAGAGUCCAGCACAUCCUAUCAAAGAAAAUCUUCAGUCUCCGUCUCUUUUUCUCUUUAUGGAAGUGUUAUAUUAUCUAAGACGUUCAAGUCUGAUCAUACUGUAAGAAAAAGAAUCUAAAGGUUGUAGUCACUUUUUCUCUUUAUGGAAGUGUUAUAUUCUCUAAGGCGUUCAAGUCUGAUCAUACUGUAAGAAAAAGAAUCUAAAGAAUGAUACUCUAUUCAUUUUAGUGUAGAGGAGCUAUAGUAGAAAACUUGCCUUUCAUCCCAGUAGAUAAUUGAAUGCAUAGAAAACAAAAACCAACCUUCAGCUUCUCAUUUGCAGCUGCAAGUUGAAGUUUCAGGGUCUUUAUUAUGUCUCUUUGUGAUGAACAGGCCUCCUGCAUAUUUAUAGACAGGAAUCAGGAUUCAGAUUAAUGUCCAAUAGAAAGAGCAUUAGCACGAAACAUAAAAAGCAUCAAGUGAAAACCUCAAGAGCAUUGGUUUUUGAUGUUGCAUUAUCCAGCUCCAAUGCAGACUUUCCAGUUAGUUCUUUGUACUUGACAAUUUCAGCCAUCAAACACUGCACCUGGUUUAAUUGGUGAUCACGAUCAUCUCUUACUUGCUGUAGUUCAUUUCUAAAACAGUUGAGUUCUUUCUUUAACUCUUCUUUUUGUUUAGAAGCUUCCUGUUGAGAAGCCUGCACUUAACAAGCACUAAAUAAGUAAUUAAUGCAUUUUGUUUUGUAAAGUACCUCUAAAAGAACCUGGAGAAGUAUAAUUAAUGAAUUAGUAAAAAACGAGGAGAUUCCAUAAUGUGCCAAUCCAAAAGGAUAGCAAAACUAGUGAAAAACAAAGAAUUCAAGCAAUAUGGCAGGAAUGAUGAUCUCUUAGUUUAGAACAGGACAGAGAUGGAAAUUGAAGUUAGACAUAUAAACAGGAUAAUGAUAGCAAACUUUCAUCCACAUAUGUCUUAAUUUUCAGAGACUAUAAGAACUUCUUGUGCUCUAAAUACUAUGCAAUGUAAUAUAUGCCUGCAUGUAUCAAAAGCAAUUCAAUUGCACAAGCAAAUCAAACUAUAAAAUCAUACCCUGGAAAUAUCCAGCUGAUUUUUGACAGAGUUGACAUGAUCCCUCAAACCGUUAAGGGUUUCCAUCAUGGCAUUUUUCUCCUUCUGCAACUUGGAUAUGGCUUCUCCAUUCUUUUGAGCAUCAGCUUGGAGAUUGCUGUUAUACUGCUGCAAGCUAGUAUUGUAUUCCUGAAGCCUCUUGUUGGUCUCUUGAAGCAUCUUAAUCUGAGAGAGAAUAAAAACUAGACUACAUAAAAAACAUAACAACAAUUUCUGAUUUUCAUGAAGUAUAACAUAACUGUACGAAUCGCCAUCACCUGAUCAUUAAGACGUUUUGCUUCAUGGCCAGCCUUAUCAAGCUCUGCUGACAGAGCAUUGCAUCGACUUUCUGCUGCCAACCUUGCUUCCUUUUCCUCCUCACAAGAUCUAAUAGCACCCUGCCAAUUUAUUAAAUUUUACAUUAUUUACCACAUACAACUCAAAGUAAACCUCAAGAAAAAAAAAAAAAAAAAAAAAAAAAAAAAGAAGCCAUUUUUUUUAAAUUACCCACCAUUUUCUCAGCUUCCUCUUUUCUAUAUUUCUCCUCUAAAGUUGCAAGCUGUUUCCGUAGCUCCUCAAUCGUUGAAUUUAGUUCUUCGUUAGUAUUUCUCAACUGGGCAGCUAUGCAGAUGCAGUUUGAAAUGUUUAAGACUUUUCUCAUGAUCAAUAUAAAUUCCCAAGAAAAACAAAGAAGAUCAAAGAACAGUACCGAUCUCAGCAUGAUUUUUCUCCUCGGAAUCUAGCAAAUUACGGAGCUUCUCCAUCUCCAUCAAAUUCCCAUCUUCCUGUUCCGUAAGCCAUUUGAUGCAAGCUCUGAGCUUUUUUAUAUACUCCAUCAUCUGUUCGCUCUUCCCCUACAUAAAACCACAGCGAACACUUAGACUAAGAUUUAAAACGGAAUUAACACCUCAAAUUAAACAAGCUCUUGAUUAUAUUCACCUUGAAGUCAUUCUUGUUCUUCCCCUUCAUCUUCUCAUUGAGCAGCCUCUCGACGUCCUCCCUCGAGCUGAACUCAAUGCCAACACCGCCAUUGGCGCCGUCGGCAGCCGCCGGAUCUCCUGCUCCGGCAGUGGCCCCCGCAUUGACGACCGAUAGAACCGGUCGGGACCGUAGAUUGCUCGUAGCUCCCACCAUCUUCCCUACGGCGACCUUUCUCCUCUUAUCAGCUCGACCCUCAUCUAAGUUCUCCUUUUUCUACCCAAAAAAAGGACCAAGAGACACAAAAUGGCACUACCACUGCAUCAAAGAACCCUAGAAGCCGAAAACCCUAACCCUAGGAGAAGAGAUAGAAAGAGAGAGAAGAGAGAAGAGCAAACCUUACAUUUAAAGGGCUCCGAGGCGGAUUGGUGCGGCUUCUGAGGGACAUCACAGAGAAUUAGGUUUUCGGGGCUUCGUUGGAGGUCAAAUUGGGGCGCGAUUAGGCUGAAAUCUUGUAGGGAUUCGAAGAAAGUAAGCCCGAAUUCCUCUUAAUUCUUCUUCUUCGUCGUCGUCGUCGUCGUCGUUGGAUUAGGGUUAGGGUUUUCCCGAUCCCCAAUUUCUUUCGACCUCGAGUGGAGUGGAGGGAGAGGAGAAGUGAGAGAGCCGUUUGAAUUAUUUUGAAACUGGGGACGGGCGCGGUCGGAAAAAUUUGCAUACCGAAAUUACCCUUCUCUUUUCUCUUAUUUACGGGACGAGGCCUCUCGUUCUCUUGUGUAUAACCUUCGGAGUUUCGAUCCAUGGGCCACGUGGGGGCCCAAUCAGAGAAUCCUUAGUGGAUCGGACGGUGGACGUUAUUAUUUAUAUUCAACGCUCGCCUCGUGUGUGGACUUAUAUAUGUUUAUAGUUUCAUGAUAUAAACUUGAACUAAAAAAAAUAAUAAUAAUAAUUUAAAGAGGUUGACAUGGUUGGAAUAUUCCAGUACCUCGUACUCUAAUACCUGCAAAACAAUCGUUGUUCUCGAAAAUUUAAGUUGCCCCAAAGCAAACCAAGGCAGUUUAGAAUAAGCGCCGGUACCAUAUUUACUAUCUAAAAAUCCGAUCCAAUAAAACUAGCGAUGACAAAAAGAAUUCACUGUAACAAUUGUUUUGAAGUUGAAUCAUUCAUAAACUGAAACUCUUUUUUCAGCAAAGUUGUUGAAUCCAGAUCAAAAGCACUGUUAUCAUGACUUCAUUUACUCAACUUACCUUUAAACCGUGAAAAAAAUUCACCUAGGUACAUUCACGUCAGCAAUCCGAGCACCAGGGAACUCAUCACCUUGCCUCAGAAGACUCGAGGACGCGAUAACCGCAGGCACUGCGACAGGCUCGGCCAUGAUCCCGUGAGCAACAAGUACAAGGCAGUCAAUCUCUUUUGUCGAAAGUGAUAGAACAUUGGGAUGUCGUGUUCUCACCGUAGGGGUCGACGAUUCGUGGAGGGUCGUAGAGGAUGUUCCGCAGGCUGUCUCCGUACUGCAGUACCCCGUGCCUCUCAACGGAGUUCUGUACUGGCGGUGUGCAAAAGACGGGACGCCCCUUACAACAUUUGAUCUGAUUGUGAGCUUUGAUCUGCGAGAUGAGACAUUCAGAUUUGUUGCGCUGCCGGAGGAGGCAACGCAUGUUCGGUUUCAGUCUCGCAGAGCCCCAGCAAAUCGUCAUAUGGGCUUUGCGGGAUUCAGAUCAUGCCUGGAUCAAGAAGUAUAGCAUUGCCUGCAGAUCUUUUGAGAACAAAUUUUUGAUCAGAGCAAGGCACGGCGACGAUGACGACAAUUUGUUCAUCCAGUUGCAGGAGGGCUUAGUUUAUUGCAACCUUCCAUCUAGAAGAAGGAGAUUGCUGGAAUGUACCAGUUACUGGGAUCUUCUGAACAAACAAGAGAUGCUGAAUUUGAGAUCUUCUGUAGACAUUGAACACUUUCAUGCUUUUCUUUAUGCAGAAAGCCUGAAUUCAAUUACAAAUGAAUGGUCAUACAUUUGUUUUUCUUUCUUUCCUUUAAGGAUCUGAUUUUGAUUUGCACAUUAUUUUUUUUUUUGUCAGAAUGAAUCUAAAUAUAUCUUUGGAUUUAACUCUAAUAGUCAACAAAAUACACCUUUAAAUUAUCCAAUUUGGAACUCUUGUUUUGCUAACCAUCUGCUAUGAUAAUGACAAGGAAUUCUACAUGUGUCUAAACAGAACGGCGAAUAGUACAACACAUCAAAAGAAUUUACAAAACCAAGGAGCUCUCUAACUAAAAGAAUGUCGUGUAAAAUUAAUCCAAAAAGGAAAAAAAAAACAAAAUCUGAAUUUUGUGUGGUGGCGGGGCGGAAACCAUCUCCGACCGAAGUAUGAUCCGUGUUCGAAACGGUUCGAGAACCAUUUGGUUUCGCGAGUUCUCUUGUGUGGUAUGUAUCAACAUAACCAACAUAAAAGUACAUGAAGAAUCACCGGUGCAUGGAAGGGCUUUUCUGCUACAGCUUACGAAGCGCUGAAAACAUGUUACAAGAUAGAAAAUAGAAGCAUUUAGAGCAUGAGCAGAGACAAAUUACAGAUUAUUUAUUUAGGGGAAAAAGAAAAAUCAAAUAGAAUGUUUCACAAGAGCAUAAUUAAUGGUUAUUUCAUGCAAAACAGAAAGUUUUCCUUUUAAUCAAAGCGCAACCUGCUUCCUCCUGUCUUUUCUCAAAAAAACCUGCUUCCUCCUGUCGAAGUCUUUGAACUCUUUAGGUUAGACAUCUUGUAAGCACAUCCUAUGUAAUCAAAAGAAUUCACAACCUAAAAUUGUAUGCUAGAUAGUCAUAUACAUUUUCUGCAAAAGCCAUCACCACAAAACCUUCUCUAUCCUUUCAUUCGAUUUUUCUUUUCCCUAAGCAGACUAAAAAAAUUUUAUGCUAUCCAUUAUGGUGGUCCGUUGAGUCCUAAACAAUCUCUGUCAGCUUAUUAUCAAAAAACGAACCACAUUAGACCACUGUUUAGAUUUCAGGUACUAAAUUUGUGAUAAACCCAAAGAAUACAUACCUCCCGGAUGUAGAUCUAACUCUCAUCAUCAGAACUGGAACUAUCCACCCUGCGAUCGGUGAUUGCGGGAAAGAGAUGCUGUCGUGGAUCUGGGACGGAGGAUGAUGAUGACGGCGCCGACUUUUGUCUACUUCUCGGAACUUUCGACACUUUCUUCUGUGACUCCCUAACCUCCUUGCAUGCCUUAUCCAACAUGCCAAGAAAGUCCCUCACAAUCACAAACAGCCGCAAACCCUCGUCUUUCCCAGCAUUUCCAUGGAAAUAGUCGACAGUGCUCUUGACAAGCAAUCUUAUUCUCUUCUCUUCCUCAAGCAAGAAAGUAACCUCUCCGUCAGCUCGCUCAGCGAAAUGCCUGAGUGAGUGGUGAAACCCACUGUCCUCCUCCAAACUUUUCAUGCUAGUAUUCAAGAAAUCUUUUACUUUCAUGAGCUUAUGGCCGAGGCUAGCUGCGGUACUCGUUAUGGCAUCAGCAUCAAGGCAUGCCGCCCUUUUCACAUUUUCGAGUUCAUCUCCUAAACUUGAAACAACUUUCAGGCCAAGAGUACGGUAAUGGUCUUCAGAUUCUUCAAAAGAAUCGUCAGCAAGAUCAUCAGAACUCAGGCUGGACAUGCUGCUACCCUGCUCCCUUGCAAUCCGUGCAGCACGAACUCCUUCAGAUCGAAUGAUCUCUUGUACAACGAAAUGUAAUAAUGUUGUUUUCCCAUCGAUUCCCUUCACGUCAGCCAAUUUCAAGAGGGUAUCUAGCUUGAAUGCCUGUGCUCCGCCACGAAAAGUGCCAUCGUUCAUGCGAUUCCCGAGUUUGAGAACAGCUUCCAAUAGCUUUAAGAAAAGCCGACUACUUCUAAGCUCCUUACAAGCUACCUGCGAGAAAAGGAAUUCUUUCUUACAGAUAGAUAUCAAUGCUAACCGACCUACAUGCUUGGAAACCCUAAGUGACACAGUUUAUGCCCAAACAUACUAAUUAAGUGGCUAUUGGAUAGCCAACGAAUCUACAAGUUAUCCAGCAAGAGCAGUCGUUGAAGACAUUGAAUAAGACAAUCAAAAUAAAAAACACAAUAUAUAAUUAGCUUCCCUCAAUCAAUUUUAUAAAAAAAAUUUUAAAAAAUCUAAAAAAUUCUUCGGCCUCUUUCGAUUACACUACCUUCCAUCAAUUUGCAUACAAUUCAUACAUCUAUGCAUUUUUGUUGGCAGCAGGAACCACAAGUAGAAGAGUAGCUUUUUCGCUUUUUUCCUCUAAAAAUUGCACAUUAAACAAUAAUAUGCCAAACAGCAACAAUGAAAAUAGAGAAAUCCACCCAUCAGGAAAUUCAAUCAUAAAACAACCAAGGUAACUGCAAUUCUUGGUUAGCUCGCAGAUCCUACCCGCUCUUCUCAGGAAAGAUAAAGCAAAAACUGAAAGCACCUAGUGGUUCCUAAAGAUUAAGUCAUUCUAUACAUAUUGAAGUAUGCUUACUCUUCUAUAAAUGGAACUGCUAUUAAAAUUAAUGCAAUCGCAAACCGAGAAGACAUGAAAAGGACUUACCUGUAAGGUUGAAAAUGACUCCUUCAGAAUUGCAGCUUCCUCUGGUAGCAAAGACAUGAAAAGUAAUACAUCAAGCCGCUGGAAAACAUAAGGAAUAUUCACCAGCAUUUUUAUGAACUGUUCCGCAGGUCCAAGUAAGGAAAUGUCAUCAUUAUACAGUCUUAUCUUCAGCUCUUCAUCAGCACUAGGAGCCAUUUUCAGCAGUGAUUGGAGCAACUCUAUUGGGAGCUCAUUUCCUAUUUGGAGGGAGAAAAAUAUUAUAUCACAACAAACGAAUCGCAAAAGAAGAUGCCAUGCAAAGUGGCGUCUAAGUCCUAGAAAGUUCUUAAGAAUUACCUUCAAUAACUGCGUCACAAACCUCUUCAGCUUUAACAUUCAAUGCUUUCAAUGAAAUCGCCAAAUUCUGUGACUUUUUGGGAUCAAGAAUCCGAAUAUAUUGAGUAGAAGCAUCCUUGAGUGCUGUCUCCUUGCCAUUGCUCUUAGUUUUAUCAGCAGUGUUAUAACCAAAUAGACUUUCAAUCAUCUCCUCACUGAACCUGUAAAUCACCCUCUAUUUAGUGCAAUAGUUUUAUUAUUCCAGGUAUUGACUUCAAGGUAAAAGAGUAUAUACCUUACCUGAACUAUAGCAUAUUUUAAUUGCUACCUGAACUUUGAAUAUCUUUACUCUUCUACCUAAUCCUACAAUAUGAUUGAUUUAAAUGCCCUGCAGUCAGGAACUAAAUGUACUUGUAACUUUUCUGAUGGAAUAUUCUGUAACCUAAGGAAUGUUUAAGUUACUUGGGAAAAAUAUACUAUGAUUUUUUUAUUUUGACCCAAACGGUUGAGUUUGCACAGAAGUUGAUGGAAGUUUCUGAAAUAAAAAGUACUAAAAAGUUAGCAAGUGAAAAUCAAAAGUUCCAAAAAUUUAUGUACUCAUUUCAAACACGCCAUGGUUCAGGUAAGUUGAUACUCGAUACAUUUUCACCUUAUUCUGAUAAAAUAGUGAGGGACAAAUAUCAGGAAACUUACUGGAAAGAACCCGAUUUGAUGUGAUCCCAGACCAUUGAUUGAUCGGGGUUUGCAAGAACUUUGUCCCAGAAAAACGGCUUAAGCUUGGUUUUUGGUGCAUUAGAGUCAUCCGUAUCAAGCUCCUGCCCAGACUUCCUUAAACCAGGUGGAGGCGGCACUUUCGACGAACUGGGGUUACCUGGUGGAGGACGGGGAGGAGGGAAAGCUGCUUUUGAUGGUGGUGGAGGGGGAGCACCACCUGGCUUUCGACCAGGAGGUGGCGGCGGAGGAGCAGGAGUAGGAGGAGUAGGAGGCCGAACUGGUGGUGGCAUUGCCGGAGGAGGUGGUGGUGGUGGAGCUUGUUGUUGUUGUGGUGGAAGCGGCGGCGGCGGUUUUUCUUGUGUAAUAGUGCUAGGAACACUGGAUUGCCCAACUGAAGAGUUGGAAAUUACUGAUUGCAUUCUGGUCAUCGGAGUUUCAAUUGAGCUCACCUUGAAUGAUGGAGCACGGCCAUUUUGGCUCGGUUCCCUUUUUAUUGGCAGAGCACCCAGCUUAUUUAUAUCAAUUGGAGUUGCCUGGCCGUAUGACUUUCGAGACGAACCUAACAUAAAGUCACAAAAAUCAGCACUCAAAUGCAAACUUAUAUGAUAAGGCCUCAUUGGGUUAUCCUACGUUUUGUCCUCCCUCAAGUUCUAUGCUAUUGAAUGCAUAUGCCGACAGUAAAAUGUGCAAUUUAUACACCUUUGAGACUUGUUUAGCAACAAGAAAAGGGAAAAUUGGUGAUAACGUUUCUUCACUUCCUUUUUCUUGAAAAGAAAGAUAACUUAGCAAGCUAACCAACAAUGAGAAGAAAAAGAAGUCCAUCAAUCCGGCGCAUUCAAUCACAUGGAGUUUGAGUUGGAAAAAAAAAAAAAAAAAAACAAUAACAUUGCCAAACAAGGUCUAAGAAUAAGAAGAGAGCUCUUUCAUACCAGAGAAGUCGCUUAAACUCAAACUAAGAAGCGGGCUGUCAUCCCUCUGGCUGUAAGCUAUAAAUGUCCUGUUUCUACGACAUCUACAAAAGCAAACAGCAAGAAAAGCUGCAAGAAGCGACGUCCCCACCAGUGUUAGAACAACAGCAACCGUAACUGAGCUUUUGUUGCUCUUUUGCUUUUUUGGUGGUGGAGGCGGAGUACGGUGUGGACUGCCUUUUUUAUGUUCUGGUGGAAAGAAAUCGCUGGAGGAAGCAGAUGAGGAUAAUCCGAUAGGAGAUGGUGGGCUAAAAUGAGCCGGAAUAGGCGGAGGAGCUGGAACAAAACUGGGGUUUUGAGUUGUAAGGCUUGGAGAUGGAGUUGAGACAUGAACUGGGGCAGGACUCGGAGAGGGUGCAGUGGAAGAGGCAGGAACUGAGGAUGUCGUAGUUGUAGAAGGUUGCUCAACCAAGAAUCUUCUUAAAACAGGGUUCCAUCUGAGUAAAGCUUCAAGAUAACCGGCCCACUGAUUUGUCAUACUGUCCUCGACAGAAUCAUGAAAAGUAAAACUUUGCUUGCUUAAACAAUCAAGAAACUCUUGCCUAAUUUCUGGUCCAAUGCUACUAAUAGCUUCCUCUAAGCUGUCUUUCAAAGAAGGCAUUUUUCUUGGAUCUAUCUCAUUAGAAUCACGGAGAACAUCAACCAAAAGAGAGUCACCAAACGUUUUUCCAAUUUCCCCUAUCAUUUUCAUAUCUAGUCCGCAACUGAUCCAUACUUGCCGCACCUGUAGUCACAACAAAUCACAUUGCCAUAAAAAACAAAAUUAGAAAUUUCAUCGAAGGCAUACGAAUUAUAUGCAAACAACUGUUUUGUCGCAAGGGAAUUCCCAGGGGAAUAUGUUCUCGGCACAUACGAGAGUGUCAAAAAAGUGUCUCAGAAACUAUAAUAACAGAAAUGCACUAUUCCACAUCAGCGCUACACUCCAACAUUUGGUAUACCGUCUAUCCCAUCUCACACUUCAACGUUCAAUCAAUCAACCAUCCGAAUGACAACAACUUUCGAAUCAAGGAAAGGCUGCGACUCACAGGGCGGUAGGAUUUGAAGUUUGAGACGGAAUGGAGGGUAAAGUACUGUUAUUUUUCUCAGAUUCAACUAACAAAUUCAUAAUCCAGGAGAAAAAACAGCAGAUAAGUUGACAAAAUCAGUACAUAAAUUAGAACUAGACCCAUUUAGGGCAUCAUUCUCUCUAUACACAUGCCUCACUGAAGAUUAAAAGCAACACAAGGAUAAAAAUGACAACUUUCGCUAAUUUGUCUAAAUAUACAACAAAUUAAUAGUUAAAUUCGUUCCACAUUUCACCGAGUAAGUUUCUUUUCUCCUUAUAAUCUCGAUCAUGAGGAUAACACAUAACUUCUUGUCAUAAAACACAAAAGUGGGAAUGAGAUCAAACUCGUAAUGGAAAAUUUAGGGUUCCUAUCUCACCGUUCGAUCGAUGUGCCACGAAACUCCCACAUUGGGUGAAUCCCUCAAACCGUGCCGCACAGCGGAGCCACAGGGCACUAGGAGAUGCAGCAAGAUCAUGCACGCGUAGGCGGAGACCAAGAUCCCAUUUGUGCCCCGACCCAUCAUCAUCCUCGUCGUUUCUCGCAUCCACCUCCCGAUCCAGCUCCGCCCUUCUCAUCUCAUCGAUGGCCACCUCCAAUCGAGCUCAAAGGACAGAUCUUUGAGCUGCGGGGACGAAACCCCAGAGCGAUUUCCUGAGGAUCGCGAACUCGGGCAAUCCUUUGACCGCGAAAACGCGGGGUUUGCGAUCGAAAGAGGGGUAAAGGUGGGAGCUUUCGUAGGGUUUGGAGGGGGAAUUUCGCGGAGCUAAGGUGGGGGAGGAGACGAUCGAGACGCGAAGAGGGGGGAAUUUGGGGUAUCGCGGAGACGCGUCGACCUCGGCCUCGACCUCGACUUUUUUUCUUUUUUUUGAAUUCUUUUCCAAGUCAAAAGGCGAUGCGUCAAUUUUUUGAUCCAUCAUUGUUCAAAGCGAAAAAGAAAGAAUUAAAAAAUUGUACGGAGAUCCUUCCACUGUAGAAAGUUUUGACAUGGGCCCCUCACCUAUAUUUUUCUCAUUGACACUAUCUAAACUUACUAAAAAUAAUGAAAAUUAUGAAAAACGAGAAGUUGGAAGAAUUUUAAUAAAAAAAAAUAGUUGAGAGGGCUAUUUUGGAAUGAUCUAUACAACUAACAUUUAAGGAGGUCUCUAUUAUUGUCAACAUUUCCACCAAAAAGAAAAGGAAAGGGAAAUAGGAGCUCUUUUUAAUUUGGUAAAAUAAAGAGGCUUAAAGUGAAAAAAAGGGAACCGGAUCCUUUUGUUCGAUAGGAGAGACAAUACACUACACGACCGUUGCGGAUUAGUAAUUUUCUCCACUUAUUUUUUUCCAGAAUCUCUUUUAUUCUUUACUUAUUUAUUCCUGGGGUUGCUUCUCUCUGAAGCGCAGUUAAAAUUGAUUCAUUCGAUUUAUUUCAUUAUUGCAAUUUUUGAUUUGAGAGAUGUUAAACGGAGUUAGCAAAGCUGAGACAAAUAGCACGCACAUAACGAAGAGAAUAGAGCUAUGACCCGAUCUGCAAAAAAUACCUCUCGAUCUCGCAUCGUUUUAUUUUUACGUGACCGGAGUCAAGAUUAAAAAUUUAUGUAAUUUUCACGCGAAAGUUGUUAACAUCGACUCAGCUCGGGUUUUGCUCAGAUCUAGCUUAACGGCAGAUUUAGAGGCCUCUACAGUUAUCUUUCUCUGGGCUUGAUCUAGUUUGCAUGGCUGUACUGGGCCAUAACUGUUGUUUCUUCGGCAUUUUGGAUAUAGUUUUGGGAUUUAUAACUCUGAUUUGGCCCAAUAAAGUGAAAUGGGUCGUGUAAAUCGCAAUACAAUGUGUACUAUAAUGGCUAGUAUACAUUCAAACGUACGAACGGCGUAGAUUCGCUACAAUCCCAUGCAUAAAAAUUUCUAUGCAUCCACACUGUCUAAUGUCGAUGGUUUUGACUAAUCUCACCACUAAUGAGUAGCGAAAGAACUUUCGCACGGAGUUGUAACCAAUGCAUUUUCAUUCAUUUCUUAGAACAAAAGAUUGGCUACGAAUUCAAUGUAAGAGAGAUGAGAAAUCGCUCAGCUUCCUUUGUGAUCUUAUUGACCCUAUCCUCACACCUUUACCUUCGUAAACCCCAAAUGAGUCGAGCUCGAGUUAGCUUUUGUUUAACGAUCAGCCAAAAAAUGUAUUGAAGUACAGCUUAGUUCAUUUACAACGCUUAUGUAUUAAGCUCGGUGUUUACGAAUGUCAUCAUGGGUAAUUAAGCCAAGAUAAAUAAAAUUCUAUAUAAGUGCUAAGAUUAUUCCUAAACUAUUUCCUAUCAAAUACUUUUUUAGUAAUAUGAUACCAAAAUCUACUUGAAGUUCCCUUCUCUCUACUUCAUAAAAAUCAGUACUUAAUUCAAUUCAUCCACUAUUUGUGGCAUAUCUCUUUCUCUGUCACUCUACUAUCCUUUUUAUAUGUUUGUAUUUAUGGCGUGUUUGUUUUGCAAGAUCUCCGCCCCCAAAGCCUCUCAUAUAGUUGAACCGCGAGUGCGAAUGUUUUGAGGAGAUCAACGAACUCACAUAUCAGACGUGUACAACGUAAAAUUAAGCAAAACUUCACUCCUUACCGUGAUGAGGUCGAGAUCAAAUGCACGAUCGAAACUCGCAACCUCUGAUCUCUCCAGUCCCAGAAAAAACAACCAGUACACCCUUAAUUACUAGUCUCAAACAUGAACGCGCGUGGAGUGGUUUUCGAAUCCACAUCUGUUACAUGAUAUUGACAUGCGACGUAUCUCGCGACAAUUUUAUAUACUUGCAUGCAUUACUCCAUGCUUAUUAUUAUACAAAGAUGCACGAGUAUCGUGUCAUAUCACAUUACAUAUGCAUAAGAUAACAAAUUAUUAAUUAAUGUUUAUAUAAUUAUGGAGAGAAUAACACCAAACUAGUAAAACGCCAAAGAUGCGGUGGAAAUUUCUAUGCAUGUUUUGGACUAUGCAUUGUUUUUUGCUGUGGCUUUUGUACAGAUCGAACCUGUAAAAAAAAAAAGUAUAAAAAAUAAAAAAAUUUGUCACAUAUAAGUUACAGAAUCAAUUAGCUCUAUCAUCACCAUGUAGAAGCAUCCAAACACUCAUUAAUUUAAUUAUUAAUGAUUAACGCUUAAUAAUUCAAAGCAUCCAAAAACUCAUUGUUAUAAUGAUUUAAAUUAAGUUAUAUAUACAGCAGAAUAAUAUUAGUUUAAGACUUAAAUUAAUCAGAUGGAUUUAAUACUUUGACCAACCAGUUGGAAAGUGUUCAGAGCUAGCAAAGUACUGUUUAUUAGAAUAUUAAAAUCGAAAUUAAUUAAUAAUAGGAUCAUUAUUCGGCAGUAUCGAAUUAAGAUAAUUACUAGUUAAUUAAGUAGUGGCAUGCUUAAAAGAGUUAGCAUGUCCUUUGUGUUGGAAUAUUUACAUGUUCUCCGUGGGAUUUGUGUGUUAAUGCUCAUUAUUUUAACUCUUCGCCUUACUUAAUUUGCAAAAGUUCCUACAAAUCAUAUAAACUUCGAUUUAGAAUUUCUGCUUCGUGGAGGCUUAUUUUGUGCGUAAAAUUACGAAGCAAAUGUGUCGAUUGAGAGUAAUAUUGUUACACGCUCUUACAUUUUUUACACUAUUAUUUACAUGAUAUCAUGGGGCAUUUUACUCGGGUGAAAGUGACAAUUCAUGAGGAAGCUCAAUUCAUGCGUAAAAUGUUAAUUAUAUAGUAACCAAAGAGAACUGAUAAAAAGUGAAAUGUCGCGUCAGCAUAUGUAAAAACUUGUAAAAUUUGUAUGUGAUUUAAAUACAAAUGAAAUGGAGCUUGGCUCAUCUUAUAAUGUACCCUAGAGAGUCCCCCACAUUCUUUAAUUUAUCCUAAGUAACCCCAAUUAAUUAUUAUUAUUAUUAUUAUCAUUAUUAUUAUCCUACAUUAAUUGCAAGAAAACAACAUGGGAGAUAUAUAGAAGCUUGAUUUUUGUCUAGUAUAAGUAUGAGGACAAAAAAUGGCCGGCUUGGAAAUUAAUUAAUUAAUUAAGUAAUCAAUUAAUAACCAUAUAUUUUGAUUUGUUAUACAACUCAAAUCAUUUGUAUUAAUCAAAAAUUCUUUUUUCUUGUUUUUUUUUUGGGGGGGAAAGACCUUUAUUAUAAGAGGCAUAGUAGUUUCAUCCAAAUGAUCCAAACAGUUAUCUUUUUCUUUUGUAUAUCAUGCAAUUAAAUGCAAUUGGACCAAGCCAAAUUAAUUUCAAAGCAAAGCAAAAAAAAAAAAAAAAAUUUUGUANAGCCAAAAAAAAAAAAAAAAAAAAAAAAAAAAUCAUGCCACCUAUUUUUAUGCAAUCAACCUCAACCAGGGACAUAAAUAUCUUUGUUCAUUAAUUAUAUAUCAGGAUUUUAAAGAGAAUGAUAGAAAUGGACCUUUUGUGGGAUAUAUCUACAAUUAAUAGCAAAGAGCACAUCUUUUAAAAUAUCCUCUCAAUAAAGGAAAAAAAAAAGGGGGGGGAAAGAAAAAAAAAGUGUAAAUAUGCACCAACCACUAGCAGAUAAGUUCAAAGUGUUUCAAUCUCAAAAUUUGUUGUUGUGAGGAAAUGAAAACAACAAAAUAGUGUACUAUUGGCAUGUACUAGUUAUUCACCUAGUUGGCUUUAAUUCACCAAUGCUUGCAUAGAAUAGUAAGUUUUUUUUUUAAAAAAAAAAAUUUACCAAGAAUGUGUCUUCAAUAUCCCUUAAAUCUUUUAUAUUCCAAAUGUACACACACAAAAUGAUUUGCUCCUGAAGAGUUCAUGUCAUUCCAAACUUGUGCUCUUUUGUCCUUUUCCAACUAAAUAUUCCAAUAUUCCUAUCACUAUUUAACAAAAGGGAAAUAUGACCCACAUAUUAAUUAAUUAAUAGAAAUUUAUAAAAAUGCGUUAUAUAUAGAGAAAUGAGUUGGAAUGUUAUCGGUAGCAAACGAGUUCUAUUGCUACUCAUUUAUUUUCAAUGAUGGAGCCUCUAAAUCGACGAUCAACACCGUUGAACAUGAUCUAUACCACUUGAAGUAUUUGAAAACUAAAUUUUAAAUCUUUUCGACAUUAUUAACCUAAUGAUUAAAGGGUUUCAAAAUUUAUAAUUUUAAUGAUAAAUAUGAGGUGUUUUCUCGUUUAAGGAUGUAAAGCUAUCCAAAUCAAUUGAAGUUUGAUUAGAAAAUUCUUUAAACUAUUUAGAACAAGAUCUAUACUCUCAAUCUUGAUUACAAAAUUUCUAUCAUCACUUUUUAGAAGAUAUUUAUUUUCAGUCGUUCAUUUUUAUUUGCAUUUGAUGGGCAAGAGAACAAUAUUGAAAAAAUAUGAAAUUAAUUUGGUUUAUAGAUAUACUUCAAAUAGUAUAUAUCAUAUUCAACGAUGUCGAUUAUCGAUUUGAAAGCUUCAUCAUAAAAAAUAAAUGGAUGCAACGAAAUCCGUUUGCUACCGAUAGCAUUCCAGCUCAACUCUGUGUGUGUGUGUGUGUGUGUGUGUGUGUGUGUGAAUUGAACAUCCAAUAAGAACCCAAACAAAAACCCCUGUAUAGAUCUAUCCAUAAUGCUCUUCCCCUACUAUAUAAAGCCAAGGAAGGGCUCCAUAUAUUUAUGUCCCUAGCUAGCUUUGUGAAUUCCAACACACCCCAAUUAACACACGCACCCCCUCCCAUAUCUACAGGGCCACCCACAUCCCCUCCUCCUAGGAUAAAACCCUAGCACCCCAAUCUCAUCCUCCCAAUGCCCAACUGCCACGUGUCAACCUCACUCACCACACAAAGCUUUCACCUCCAUGCACGUGAGGACAUGGAGAAGAGAUAAACCCUAGCUAUACGUUUUCUCCAAGUACCUAGCUCCCUCCCUUAAUUCCUCUCCUCGGCCUCCACCGUAGUUGUAAGAGUCAUGGGGGCUGAGAAUAGGGCUAAGUACUCUACCACCCACAUGGCCCCUCGAAACAACCCUAGCCUCCUCCGUCCUCAUCCGAGCUCGCUCUCCGGCGCCCUUAACGGCUGUCUCGGUUGCCUCGACGGCCCGUGCAUAGAGAAGCUCCUGCUCCACUGCGCCGCCGCCCUCGAGGCCAACGACAUAACCGUCGCCCAACAAGUCAUGUGGGUGCUCAACAACGUCGCCUCCGCAAACGGCGACCCCAACCAACGGCUCACCGUUUGGUUUCUUCGUGCUCUCAUUGCCAGGGCCUCUCACCUCUGCCCGACGGCCCUGCCCUUUGCCCUAGACGGCUCGUCGCAGUCGUCUCGAAGGCCAAUGACCGUGACCGAGCUUGCGGGCUACAUCGACCUCACACCGUGGCAUCGAUUCGGUUUCUCAGUCGCCAACCGCGCCAUCCUCCAGGCGGUCCAGGGCCACCGGAAGGUCCACAUCGUCGACUUCAGCGUUACGCACUGCAUGCAGUGGCCGACGCUGAUCGACGAGCUCGCCAAGCGGCCCCAGGGCCCGCCAGUGUCGCUACGAAUCACUGUGCCCUCGGCGCACCCUCCGGUGCCCCCUUCGCUCAAUAUAGCUACCGAGGAGGUAGGACUAAGGCUGAUGAACUUCGCCAAGUUGAGAAACAUCCCCUUAGAGUUCAAGGUACUCAAGACCAACUCCCCGGGUAACUCUUUGAGCUUUCGCCAACAAUUGGUUACCACUCCAUUGGAUCCAUCUUCAUUAGGAUUGCAAGAUGAUGAGGCCCUAAUCGUCAAUUGCCACAACUGGCUAAGAUACUUGUCGGGGGAUUCACAAGGGAAUGAUGAUAAUACAAGAGACUCCUCUUCCAAAGAUGGCUUCUUAGAGUUCAUUCAUGGCCUCAACCCGACCGUCGUGACCAUGACCGACGAGGACGCCGACUUGGACACUCCGAGCCUCUCCUCGAGGAUAAUGGGUUGCUUCAACUACCUUUGGAUACUCUUCGACGCCCUCGAAACCUCCUUCCCGAAGGAAUGCCCGGAAAGAACGGGGUACGAAGCCAACGUCGGCCAAAAGAUCGAGAACAUCAUCCGGUUCGAGGGGAGCCAAAGGAUCGAGAGGUCGGAAUCCGGCGCGCGCUUCGCGCAGCGGAUGAGGCGCGCGGGGUUCGGCGGGGUUUUGUUCGACGAGGAGACGGCGAGGGGGGUGAGGGUGCUGUUGAGCGAGCACGCGAGCGGGUGGGGGAUGAAGAGGGAGGAGGACAUGCUGGUUCUCACGUGGAAGGGGCAUAGCUCGGUUUUUACCAGUGCAUGGGUCCCCAAAGUGAUCUCAUGAAUCUAAGGACUUGUCCUUUGGAGCUAGGAGCCAUGCAUGGGCCAUGGCUUUUGUGGUUUCUCGAUCUUUCCUUACGAAGAGGGGGAGAGAGGGACAAGUCGAGAGAAAACGGCUGGUUUUGUCUUUUGCUUAUCAAAAGGCCAAGUUUUGAGUGGGGAGAGCAAUCUUUAUGGCUUGGGAAUGCACACAAGAUCAGUGGCAGAGCCAGAACUGUGUAAAUUGUCUUUACAUAUAUAUGUGCAUCAGUAAUUACUUGGAAGUGUAGCUUUAACAUGCUCUUCUUAUCUUUUGUUUCAGAUGAGUUGAACUCGCGCGAAGCGCGCGCUGAUAAACUAGAACUUUAAUUUUCUUCUAAGUUGUACUUAGAAAAUUGUCUCCUCAUUCACACCACUGUUUAUUGUACCUUUUAACUUUAUUAGCAAUGAGAAAAGUAAUUAAGGUUAUAUUUCUAAAUUUAGUUUAUUAAAGUGUCCUUCAGGUAUGACUCAACAAUGUUUCCUGUUGAACUUUUUUAGGCAAUUCACUAACACCACAACAAACUGCUAGAGUAUUGAUUAUAUACACAAUUACCUUUAAACCCAGGAUACAUAAUAUUAGAUGCUGGUUCAAAUCACGAUUAAAGCAUAAAUAACAUUGUUAAAAAAGGAACAAAAGAAAAAAUUUCUUCAUGUUUUGACAUAAGAAUAAUAGCUCAUAGAUAUUUUCUUUUUUGAGAAGAUUCAAGACAUAGAUUAGCUGAUUUAUAUGAAUAUGAUUUAUAUGAAUAUGUUUAAGUUCGCUCUGCUAUUUUGAGGUACACAUAUGCAUCCUCCAUUUGAGUAAGAAGAGAACACAAAUUUGGUAUUAUAUUUUGAUUGAAUUAAUUUAUCCAGUAAUGUGUAUAAGAAGCUACAAAAGCAAAUACAUCAGUGAUAGGAUAGAUGACUCUGCACUGACUAAUUAAACCACUGUGACCUGUAAUUCAAAUCGGAUUUGAACUCAAUCUCUACCUUCUCAGUGCUUCUUCAAUGCUUCCAGAUUUUGGCUAAUUAAAAAGUAUUCAAUAAUCGAAACAACACCAACAUUUGUUUUCACGAGCAGAUCCGAUUGAAGACGACAAUUUCAAUGCGUCGAUAAGAGCCGCCAUCGAACAAUGCUACAAUUUCAAUGUGUGGUUAAGAACCGCCAUCGAACAAUGCUGAUCUGUGUCAAAUUAAAACAUCUUAAUGUUUAGAAACACAGGUAUAACUAGGUAAUACAUAUGCUCAAGAAACUAUGUAACCUUGUCGAUGCCAAGUUACAAUGAUUCAGUGGAUUAUUAGAUUGGAGUGAUGAAAACAAACCAAUUGAAUGAAGGAUAGAUUCCAUUGCAAGGUUGAACCAACCACAACAAAUUUCUUACUCCUCACUAAACAUCAAAGUUUCAUUCCAAUCCAACCAUAAAAGUUGGAUACUUCUUUAUGUGAAUUAACUCAAUUAUCCAAGUCAAGUAUGCCUAUCUUAAAUUCUCCCUGAUGUUCUCAACGAAACAGGACAAAUAACACUUAUUUUUUUAACUUAAAACUAGAGGCACACUACAAAUGGUCCAAUUUUAUGAAACUGCAAGUAUAAGAGUAAAAAUUUUGUAUAAAUUCAUAUUCAUAAGCAGUUACGAUAAUUUGUUUUUCUAACUCCUAACUCUACAAUCCAUCGCAUAAAGUGUUUCAAGUUUUUAAGAUUUGAAUAUCCUACUUUGUUAGGUAACAAACCAACACUACUGAUUUCAUAAACAUAGCAAUAGUGCUGUAAAAUGGAUUCACCUGUGAAACCAAAAUUGAAGUGUAAAAAUUUAACAAUUAGAGUUUACCUACGAAACCGAUUGCUUAUUCGGCAUCUUUAAGCUCUUCUUCGAGUACUUAUUCGUCCGUGCGCGCUCAACGAGCUUCUCAGCCUCCUCUGCUCUCGACGCCGCAACCAACCCAUCCACCACUUUCUGCAGCACCGCCGCGUCCGCAAAGCACUUCCGACUCAUGCUAUCGUAGCAACACCUAAGGGCCAAAUCGAAGUCCCCCGCCUCGCAGAGAUGCGGAAUCAGCGCCUCAAAGGUCCCCUUGUUGGGGGCGCAACCGUUCUUCACCAAAUCCAAGUACACUGUUUUGGCCGCCUCCAAAUUCCCAAUUUUGCAAUGCCCUCUUAUUACAGCAUUGAAUGACGAAGUGUCGGGCUUCGGCCCGUCCCUCAUCAUUUGAUCGACGAGCUCCGCCGCCUCCUCGGUUCUCUUUUCCAGAACCAGCCCUCUCAGCUUCGCGUUGAAGCUCUUCACGUCGGGCUCGACGUUCCUCUCCCGCAUCAAGUUCCAAACUUUCUCGGCGUCCGGGAACCUGCCGUGGCCGAAGAAGCCGUUCAGCAGGGUAUUGAAGGAGAUCAGGUCCGGGGAUAUGCCGUGCUGCUCCAUGAGGCUCAGCACGUCGAAUGCGGCGUCGAGGUCGGGUUUUGCGCAGAGGGCGCGGAUGAGGAUGUUGUAGGAACAGAGGUUGGGGACGAUCGAGGGGUCCUCGGCGGGGAUUUGGUCGAAGGCGGCGAGGAGGGCGUCGGGGUUGGAGGAGGAGGAAUCGGCGAGGGCGGUGAGGAGGGCGUUGAAGGAGAGGGCGGAGCGGGGGGCGGAGAGGGAGGGGAGGCGGCGGAAGAGGGCGGCGGCGUGGGAGGGCAUGGAGGCGGCGCCGUAGAGGGAGAUGAGGCGGGCGGAGAAGCCCUCGUGAGAGAGGUCGGAGGGGAAGCGGAGGUGGGAGUCGAGGACGGCGGCGACGGCGUCUGGGCGGCCGGCGGCGGCGAGGCGGCGGACGGCGGAGGAGUAGAUGCGGUGGCGGCAGCGGAAGCGCGGGGAGGCUGCGGCGGCGGCGAUGAAGCNCGGGGGCGGCGCUGCUAGGGUUAGGGUUAGGGUUAGGGUUUGAAGGGGAAGGAGAGGAGGAGAGGAGGCGAGAGAGGCGGGGGCGGACGAGGAGGCGGAGGCGGGAGGAGGAGGAUGAGGAGAAGGACAUGGUUUUCGCGUCUCUUCUCGAAAAAGAAGGGUUUUGGGAAUUUAAUAAGGCUUUAGAGGGUUUAGGAAAAUGGGUCGGGCCAAAUUUUAGGAAAAUGGGGCCCAGUUGGAGUUUUUGCUGUUUCAUUAGAAUUUUUCUAAAAAAAAAGGGUUCCUUAGUCGUGCAACUUGGCCUAUGGGUGUAGGGUGCAUAACAAACUAAGACUUAGUUUGGUAUUAAAAUCUAUCUGAGGUUAUUAAAUAAAAUAGAGUUGGAAUAAAAUUAUAUAGGGAUAUGUUUCUGCGUUCUACAGUGAGACCGUAGAAAAUAUAUCGUAUCUUAACCGACCCAUCACGAUAUGCGGAACGUAAUAUUACGUAAGGAAACAAACAGACUAUUUUCUCAUCACACAAUUUCCUCGCAAUUCCAAAUGAAGUUUAAAUUUUUAGUCAUUUAAAAAUAAUACGAAUGAAGUUUUCAGUCAUUUAAAUUUUAAUAUUUUAAUUUGAUUUGCGUCUUGAAGUACAAAUUAUUUGUCAAUGUUUGGGGUGCUUUUUUAAACCCCCAACAUAAAGAGCUGGAACUUCCAACAGUAUUGCCUUCCUAAUUUUUAUUAAUCUCAAAUUAGCCUCUGAUCAUUCAUGGCAAUGCCAUGCUUUAAGAAUGGAGUCUUUUCUUGACACAGUUAAUGAAUGAUUUUUUUUUUAGUUUUUUUAAUUUAAUUGUUUCAGCAAAGAAGAUCUUGAAUGAGUAUUGAUUUUAAUGUUUUGAGGGGAGUAAAAAUAAAUUAGAAUUGAUGGAAUUAUGCAACUGAAGAACAAAACAAAAAAAUAAAAAAUAAAAAAUCAAGCAAUGAAAAACCCAUGAACUAUAUUUAACACAUUAUAAAAAGAAAGAAAAGAAUAGCUCUGAGAAACAUAAAAUAUCAUGUGCAAAUUUUUGACCACAACCACUUAUAUGAUUCUAGGUAUAAUAAUCAUUUACGAUUUUACAGACCCAAUCCAUCAUCCAAAAAAUUGGCCAAUUUUUCUUAAAAAAAAUUGCUAAUAAAUCACUGUUGUGGAGUCACUUAAUCACCCAUUUCCCUCUCAAUAUAAGUGAAGGACCCCAAAAAAAAAAAAAAAAACUUUUUUAGGUUGAGAAAAAGAAAACAGGGGGAAAGUGACAAAGUGAUAGUUAAUUAAGCAAUCAAUAUAUAAAUAAGAGUAUAAUUAAUUGGCUAUUUUAGGUGGUGUGGCACACUAUAAAGCAUUUCUUAAACAAGAAAAUUGAGUACAGUGUGACCAAUCACCCAACAAUAUUAACUGCUCCCGCCAAAACCCAUCUUGCUAAAGGGAUUGAACACUUGUUACCUGGAUUGGGUUCACCACUUCAUCCAUGGACCAAGUGACAAAGAGCAAAGGAUCAUCAGUCAAAUCAGAAACUCGGACUUCAAGCUUUUAUUUUUUUAGCAUUUAAGGUCCACUCCACGGGUUCAUUUGGUAUUAAAAAUCGGCUAAGACUUCUGAUGAAAAAAAUAACUAAGAGCGAAUUCUUCAACCAGACCACAAAAUAUAUUUUAAUCAAGUUAUUGUCAUAUACACAAUGUGUCUUUUUUUUGCCGCACAUAAUCUAACUGUAAUCCUAAAUAAAUGUCGUCACAAAAAUUUACAAAUUUUCUAACUAUCAAAUAUUUUGUAAUAAGUAAUUAUAACCAAAAGCAUAAUAAAAAAUAGAAUCAGACUCUUAUAUUUUCUCAAACACUCUAUAAAAUUGGCUAUGUAGCUAAAAGCAUAAGUAGAAGCAAAAAAACAGCUAAUAGAGACGCGAAACGGUUUCCUGGUAUAUAAUUUGACCGGUCUAGUAGACCCGGUCCAGCUAAUAGUCUGUAUCGACCCAAACAGAAUCGUACGGCCUCUCACAGUCCUUUCGCCGCCACCAUGAGAUUGAUUCCUCGUCCCCCAUGUCCUGUAAAAAACGUUGGAGUUAGAGAGAGAGAGUAGAGAGUAGUGAAUCGAGAGUUACUUGUUGGGGAAAGCAGAAGUUUCUACAGCGAACAACAACCAAUGCCGCGGCGGCCGCGGGGCGCUGCUGCAUCGCAGGCCGCCGAGGCGGAGGCGGAGGCGGAGGCGGAGUUAGAGGCGGAGCUGCAGGGCGACUUCGUCGACUCCGUGCUCGACAUGGAGGGUGGCAUCGGCGGGGAGACGCCGAUGGAGAAGUGGGAGAUGAGGUUCAAGUCGAAGAAUCUGGAGGCCGAGAGGAGGAGGAGGGGGAAGCUCAACACCAACAUCUUGGCCCUCCGUGCUAUCGUGCCCAAAAUCACCAAGGUUCAAUUUUUUUUUUCUCUUUAUUUCCCCUUUUUUCCAAUUUUUUUUUUUAGUUAUCUUUUUUUUUAAUUAUUAUUAAUGUAGUAAGGACCACCCCGCUUAAUUAUUAUUAGGCUAUUAAUUUUGGAAAUUAUUUGUGUAACUUUGUUGUUUUUUUCUUUAAUAAAAAAAUAUUUAAUCGGAGUUGUUAUAGAUAGUUUAAUUAAGGACUAUAUCAGACUUAUUAAUGGUUUUUUUAUCUGUUAGUUGUGGAUUAUUGGUGGAACUUGUAGUCUUAUUGUUUGCUAAAAAAUGAUUAAAAAUGUUAAAUUUAACAGCAUUUUUAUUAAAUUUAUUAAAAUUUUUAUGUAACUGAUUUGAAAUUGCUAAAAUAAAAAAAAAAGUUGGGAUGGGAUGGUCUCUAUAUAUUUUACAAUUUUACAAUAAACAAUCUGGUAAAAGGAAAAAAAAAAAAAAAAAAAAAAAAAAAAACAACAUGACAAUCAACAGUUCCUAAUGUAAGUGACAAAAAAUUUAAUGAUUGGAACAAAAAGUUUUAAGUUCAAAGUUUAANAAAACUCUUCUUUGCUGUUGUUAAGGAAUUGUUUUUGGUGAUUUUAGAUGAGCAAGGAAUCGACCCUCACCGACGCGAUCGAUUACAUUACGCUGCUGCAGAAGCAAGUGCUUGAUCUACAAACAGAGCUCUUAGAAACAGAUGGAGAUCUUAUUCAUAAAAAUGAAGCAAAUGAAGAUGAGGAGGGAGAGAAGCAGAGGAGUCCAAGUUCUGAAACAGUUGCUCCCUCUGUGACAGUGCAAUGUCAGGUAAUUUAGUUUUUUUAUUUUUCAAGAAAAUUAAAAUGAUAGAUAAAUUAAAUAUUUUGAGUUUCCAAAGUAGAAGUUUAAAAGUAAAUUAUUAUGAAAAGCAAUUGAUAUAUUGGUUUUUUCUUUAAGAAGAGAUUUUAAUAGAAACAUCCAAUAAAAGGAGAAAAGAAUAGGAGGUGAUAGAGAUUAAGCUAAAAAAAUUUGUUAAACUUAAAAUACUAAAAAAAAACACUUGGCGAGGAUGGUCUCUAAUGUGAGACCGUCACAUUUGUCAUUCAUGUGGCUUUGAAAUUCGUGUCAUUCACGUGAUUAAUAGCAGAUAGGAUAGUCUUGAAAUUGAGGACUGUUCCCAUCAAAUUUGUGUUGUUCUGUGUUUUGCUGUACAUUUAGUAUAAUAGUGAAAGUAUACAAUGAAAUGCAUGGGGAGGUGGUUUGGAUGUGGAGGAUAAACAUUUCAAUGCUCAAAAAGAGGAAGAAGAAAAAAAAAGACAAAAUAAUUUUUUUGGUGUUGUAGCAUUUUGUCUCCUAACCACUUUAGAAAUGCUUGAUACUCUUUGCCAACAGGGGCAGGUUGAGCUAAUACCUAUGGGCCCAAACAAGUACCAGCUGAAGAUAAUGUGCAAGAACAGGAUGGGGCAGUUCACCAAAGUUCUAGAAGCUCUGAGCUGCUUCAAUGCAGAGGUUGCUGAAAUAAGCUCUGUGGCCUUCUUCGGCUUCUCGAAGAGCGUGUUCUCCGUUGAGGUGAGUCCACACAAACUAAAAUAUCCUUCUACUAGUGAAGUAAGUGAUUAAUUGUUUAUGUUUUUCUUUUUUUUUUCUCUUUGUAUAGGUGAAGGAAGGAGAAGAGGGUGAAAUCAUAGAAUUAAGAAAUCUUUUGUUAGCACUUGUUGGAGCCUCGGAAAAUUGAGCUGCUUCAGAAUUGAUCUUUAUGACUUUGAUUUGAAGCCACUAAAUGUUACAUGCUUUUGUAGUUUAUAACAAAUGUCAGCAAUAUAAACAUAUAGAACAACUUGUGGUUCCUAGCAAUUGAAUCUUAUGCAGAAUUACAAAAUAAUAUAUGAUUAGUUGAAAAGCUUAUUGAGUAUGGAUAUUAAGCUAAAUUUUUUGUUCUACUUGUGGGCUAGUAUUAAAAAUUUUUAAUACUAGCCUUUUCUAUCUUUUCUAGUAACUUAAAUCAUUUACAGUGGCAUUUUUGUUUAGCUCUUUCACACAUUGGUUUCUGAUUGUGAUACUUUCAACAAAAAACCUAAGUAAUAAAAUGGAGGUUAAUUAGAUUUUUACCAUAUUUAAUGUAGUAAAAUAAUGCAGCUUUUACUAUUUGUAACUUUUAUUAUUUAUCUACAUGGUCUUGGUAAAUGGUAAAUGGUAAUUUUUUGGGUUUCUUCCAAGGAAGCCUUAUAGGCCAUGUGCUUAUAGGCCUCGGCAAAUUAGCUCUACUGGGUGAAUUCAUGAAAUAAACUGCUAAGGAAUGCGAGGAAAUAUAAGACGAAAAGCAUGAACAACUACUACAAGCAUAUAAAUUCUUCGAAAAUGAGAAGAAACUUGGCGGACGACGCUAACUUGCUAAGAUUAUUUACUUUUUUUUAUAAAAGAGAAUUGUAUUAUUAUCCAAUUGAUGCUGAACCAAUCUUUUCCCAACAUAUAGGCUAAUCACUCCACUAAAAUGCCAAGUGUUGUGCCUUGGGCAUUGUACUUUUCCUUUGUUUAGAAGGAUCAAUAAAAAAAGAAGAAUCUUUCAGGCUGAAUCAAAUGUACAUUGUCAUGGCCUUGUCUCCAACUUGGUAUAGUUUUGGUUCAUUUUAGUAUAAAAGCAAAUCAGUAACUUUGUAUGAUAAUUCAAUUGCCGACAUACGGAUAUCUAACAAGUGACAGCAGACAUCAGUAAGCAGCAAGAAGAAUCUAUGGGCUACAAGAUCGAGACUUUAUCGCUCGUGUGCAGAGAUCGUAAUUAACAAAACAGCAAAUGCAGAGAGAUUCCGAGUCACUCCGAGGUUCAGUGAGGUGGCAUUGAUCUGUCUAUCAGAUUUUUGAAUGACCAUGUCACCGAUUCUAAGUACAUUUGAAGCAAUUUUCCAAUUUAAUUAUGUGAAAGACAACUCAUUCUCAUAGUAUCUGCUAUUCUGCAGGUCAAAAGGACCAAAACUUAGUCAUGCAAUUCAGAUUAGAUACUCACAUAUCAGGAAGCUUCCAUUUCAUAAAUUUAUAAAUAAUGCCAACCAAAGGUAGAUUGCUUUCGAUCUGCGGUACAAAUUUUGGCUUUAUCAUAAGUCGAAACAGUAUUAUAUACGGUAAUGAAUCGUCAAAGGCCUUUUUGUUUCUCGUCUCAGGGACAUCAAUUAGACGCUCACUUGAGAGUUGGUAACACAUAAUGUGCACAUUAAGAUCUUAUUUUAUCUUGGGAUAAUAUAAGGACAAUGUAAAAUGAUCUGAAACACCCUAAUUGAACUCCGGCAUAUUUGUCUAAAAGUUAUGAAAUGGCCAUUAAACACAAAUUGAAACCAAAUUAGCUUUUGGUACUAAUUGUAAAAUUUGCCUUGGCAAACUUACUAAAAAGAUCUAAUCAUUCAAUUUUUGUUGAUCCUACAUUAGAAAAGUAUGCCUUUAUGCUCCGAUAUAGCAAAAUACCGUCGAAUUAAGAAAAGGAAAGUUAACUAGAGAAGAAGCAAUUAGUCCAUCAAAAUAUAUAGACAAUAAGGCCGCACGGGGGUAGCUGUCACAAAUGAAGAAGCAGAGAGAGGACAUCCUCGCGCACGAAGAAGCUCCUGUCUCAUAAAAUUUGUUAUAGUGCCAACUAAGCGAAAAAUAUUUAUAUGCCAACAAAGUGAUGAGCGAAGAUGUCGAGUUUGGUGAUCAUCUAUUGAACUCAAUUAAGUCCAAUGUUUUACUCAAAAUAAAAAAGUCCAAAGUUUCUGAUCUGAAGAGCGUUAAGGGAAUACUCCUAUCACCUCUUAGACCCGUUACAAUUUUACACGAGUAUAUUGUUUCUACCGAAACAACACUUUUGUAAAAAUUCCGAAUAGUUAGAAUAGUAAUAAUGAACAUUAUUGCGAGUGAACCGAUUUUAAGGGCUUCGUCUUUAGACUAAGUUUCUUCUGAGAAUUCGCAAUCAACUGUUAAAAUAGUUUGAGCAGAGCAUCAUUUAAAUUUGAUUAAUUUGCUGUAAAAUGUGAUCCUGCUGUACCCCUCAAUGUACACUGCAAUGCACCAUUUUCCAAGAGGCUUCUAUAAAUCAAUUUCAGAUUCUAGUGUAGGACACAAGUCCUGCUACUCACCCCAAUGAGAAAACCCAGUUGUUAAUUAAUCCUUGUCAUUAUGUAAAGAAACAGGUGUCACUCCUUAAUAAAACCAUCCACCCCAGUAAUCACCUCCCUUAAUCAAUAAAAAAAACUUUGUUUUGUGUAACAUAAAUUAAUAAUAAAUCAGUGUGACUUUCCCACUACCUGAAAUUAAGAUCCAACAUUGAAAGCCCCCCCCACCCAACACUCCUUGUAUCUAACUUAGUAAACUAAUCCAAUCCUUUCACACCAAACUUAACAAACAAAGUCAUUAACAAACCUCUAUGUAUAAGCCCUUAUAUAAGGCCACAAAUCUCCACUCUUUUGUACUACAAAUUCUCUCUUCAUCUUUCUUUGUGUUCCAAGUUUGAGACACUGCAGUAAACCAUCGAUGGCUCGCGUGAUUCUGUUCUGUGUAUUAGCUGCUGAUAUUGUUACGACUCUCGCAACGGCUCGAUCAUUUCCGACUGUCGAUAGGACCACUGCAAUUCAGAUUGAUAGGCCAAUGGUUGCUGAUCCCCCUUCUUCUUCCUCUUCUUCUUAUGCUGUAACUUCUAGUGCUUCUUUCGAGUCGAGACCUGCGGAGGGGCCUGCAAGCUUUCAUCCACAUGUGAAGCACCGGCCGUUCGACCGAUCUCUCGCCGGAGGGAAGAUCAUACUUGGAGGGCUUGCGGCCGCCAUUUUUGCCGCUGUUUUCUGCUACAUUCGCAUCACUAGGCGGAAAAGCGGAGAGCCAAAGUCUUGAAACUGUUCAAUUUUUUUUUCUAUCUCUUUUGCUUCUUCUUUGGCCACCCUUGUAAGAUUACAUAUAUUGUUACAGACAAAUUGUAUCCUUUUGAUAUUGUGUCAUACAGAAAGAAUUAAAUGACAUGAUUGCAAAUGUUACAGAAGUUUCAAACUAUUGAUCAGGGCAUUGAUCAGAGGAUUAUGCAAUUAAAAUUAAGAGUUCAAAUCAAAAAAGGAAAGAAAUAAAUAUGGUUAUUCGAGAUAAUCUGAGGAAAAAUGCAAUCUUGAAUAAUGUUAGUAAUCAAUGCAUUUCUUUAAAAGUAAAGUAUAACCAAUAAAUUUUAUGGGCCUUUUGAUAAUUUAGUCAUAUUAUCACUUCACAAACAAAAGGAUAAUUUAGUCUCUAUUAGUAAUCUCACUCCAUACAUGAGGAACUAUUUUUUUUUUAACUUUGCUUUUGAAAAGCUAAUGAGAUACUAAUUAAGCUAUAUUCUAAAGAUAUCUUUCUCCCAAAUUUCUCUUUUUGGAAAGAAAUGAUUGAACUCCUUUUUGUGGUGAAGAUUUAGUUGUACUAUUCAUGCACAAAAAAGUUACUUGAGCACUAAUCUGAGCACUAAUCUCGCGCAAGUCGAAAUCUUUAUACGAAACCAAAUUACUCCAUUAGUUACAAUUUCAAGCGUGCAAAAUUCUCGACUUCAUGUCGGAUCAAAAGAAGAAGCAGCAGCAGAAGAAGGAAAAAAACAAAUUGCACUUCAUAUUAGACUAGUUUUCUGCAAUUUUCAAAGUGAUCAGGAGAUAUGGCUAGUAUUACAGCUGGCAGGAACUUCGAACUUCCUACAUCUUCAACAUCAAGUUUGAUAAAUUAAAUACGAUAAUUAUGAUGCUGGUUUAUGUUAAUGCUUUAAUUGCUCACUAUCUAUGUACAGAGAUGUAAUGCUACAGUACAGAAACAUAUAAACAAUCAAUCCAUCAGUAACUUCUUUUUUUUUCCCUUUUUUUUCGGAAGAAUCCAUCAUUAACUUUUAACUUACUACCGACUGUUCUUAGAGCAAGUGGCAAAGAACUUAAUGGUUGGUACCCGAGACCCAAGUUCGAAUCCUAGUUGAUUCACAUUUUCAGCUAAGUUUAUUUCUAAGUGAAACAAACGAAGCGGGUAGCGUGCUACCUGUCUCUCAAAAAAAACUUUUAACUUACUACAGAGACAGAGAUGGUACUCAAAGUAUGAUUAUAGCAGUUCGGGAGGCAAAACAUUUCUAUAUAAUAACCUUUUCAUACAAUAUUGGUGGUUGGUACUCUUGAUUGUCUCUAAUGAGUCAAAACACACACACACACACACACACACCAUGUUCUUGUGGGACUUAAUUAUGAAUCGAAGGCGAUUAGCGAGUAUAACAAUAUGGAAACAUCGAAACAUAGAGAACCUUACAGAGUACACAUUGCAGGGGGAAACAACUUGUGCCAUAACUAAACUAUAUUUUUUUAUCUUUGAACGUGCGCGUACUUUUAAUACUAAUGAUGCAGGUGUUCUAUGGAUAAGUAGCAUUAUGUCUCCUGAUCUCUAACAUUUCCUGAAAAUAUGCAAAUGAAAAUGGUACAUAUAUAUUAUUUUUCAUUCACUUCCAAUAAUACACUGAUACAACUUAAGUUUUAACUAUAAUUAAAGUAUGGACACAUUUAAUUAACCAAGGUAAAGCUUACAAUUUUACACAUUAGAGAGGCUAAAUUACAGAAAAUCCCCUUGUAAUAACCCGCUUUUUUACUUUCGCCCCCUGACAUUUAAAAACCUACACUUUGCCCUCUUGUAAAAUGAAAAAUCUGCAUUUCAUCCCCUACCGUUAAGGUUCUGUUAUAAAAUAUUUUUUUAUGCCGAAAAUACCCCUCCGCCCUCUUUCUUAUUGCUUCGCCUCCCUCCGGCUCGCCGCCUCGCCGUCCUCCACUGCCUCGCCUUCACCUACAUCCCUUUCGCCCUCCUCCGCCGCAUCGCCUUCGUCCUUGUUGCCCUUGCCUACCUCUCCAUCAACACCCACCUCGAUUUUCUCCCUACUAUCGUCGAAAUCGAGAGACGGCGAGGAUGCAGGAGGAGAAGAGGAGUAGGUGGAGAAGAAAAUGGAUAGAUAUUGCGGCCAAUUGAGGUGGGAAUCGUGGUCGAUCGAAGGGACGGCUGAGGAAGAUGAGGAAGAAGACGAAAAUGGCGAGGGGCGAAAUGGUCAUUUUACAUAACGUAAUCCCCCUAUAAAUAUUUUUUAUUUUAAAAAAGAUAAAGUGUAGAUUUUAAAUGUCAGAAGAAAAAAGUAAAAAAACGGAUUAUUACAGAGAUUUUUUUGUAAUUUAGCCUAUUAUAUAUUAAGCUACAUUUAUGCCUUUCCUAUUUAAGGUAAGGAAGAUCCAAUUGAAACCCAGCUCUAAAACAAGCUAAAUGGAUAUGGAUUUGGUUUUAUUGCUUGUUAUUCGAUGAACUCGAAAACAUUCCCUAACACAUAAAAAAAUAAAGUAAAAGAAAAUUAAAAGGACCUAAUAAAACACCAAUGAGUGAGUAGUAUUUACUGAGCUAUCAUUGGAAUGGACCACGCAGAAAUUCUCUUUCCCAUCUGAAGUAAGAUCUAGCUGUCCAUUCUUUAAUUUAUAGUGCUACAGGUGUCAUUUCUAUAACUGCAGUCCUAUCACAAAUGAGAAUACUAUUCAAGCAACCUAUUUUAGUCAUAUCAUCUUAAAUUAAAAUUUUCUUAUAAUCUUUGCUGUUUCACAAAUAAAACUAGAAAUGCAAACGACAAACGAGACGGAUUCGGAGGCGGAGAAGGACUGACUUUUAUCUUUUUUUUUUUUUUUUGUCUACAGUACUUAUCGAUUUAUUCUGAAUAGAUCAGAAUAAAAGAGAAUUAGGACGGAUUAAAGGAAAAAAACAAGGGUCCCCUAUUUUUUGCUGCUUUUUUUUUUUUUUUAGGUAGAAGCGGAUUCAGGACGAGUGAUGUUAUUUUUUAUUUUCGCUCUCUAGCUAGUUAUUCGGAAUGCAUCGGGACAGAAGCUAGCUCCACCAAACUUAGAGAUUUAUUAACUUAAUAUAUUGUCAUAAAAAAUUCUAUAAAUUGUUUGUUUGGCAAACAAAAAAUAUUUAAAAAAUUAUAUAUAGUAUAUUUUUAAAAAAUAGGAGGUGCAUGCAACACCAGCUGCCAAUGGGCCUGUAAUGAAAGGAAUCUUCACUGAAAUCUACCACCACCUAACUACAUAAAAAGUGCCCCACUGUCUUUUACCAAAAAUAAAAACAAAACCAAAAAUAAAAUAAAAUAAAAUAAAAUAAAAUAAAAAAGCAGUAAUUCAUAUCAUGCAACACAACUCCCCCUCAACUCCACCCUUGUAUAAAGGGCUUACUGCAACAACAAGAGAGCUCCAAAAAUCUCUAACCCCAACAAUCACCAUCAAUGGCUCCUCCCCUCCCUCCUCAUUUCUUCUCUCUUUUACUUCUUGCUAAUCUCCUCGUCAUCGUCGCUGUAGCUCGGCCUCUUUCGACGGUCGAAAGAGCCAAUGCAGGUGAGCCCACUAUGGCUUAUGCACCAUCUUCAAGCUUGAAUCCAAUUGAACUACAUAUGACAACUUUUGCGGGCGCACCGGAGAUCAGCCUGCCUCAUCAUCGACAGCAUCGAGCCUUCGACAAAUCGUUCGCGGGAGGGGAAGUGAUCCUCGGUGGGCUCGCCACUGCGAUCCUCGCCGCCGUCUUCUGCUACAUUAGAGUCACUAGGGAAAGAGUGGAAGAUGAGAAAUCUUGAAGUGGUUGUAUUAACAUGUUUUGCUUAAACAAGUUUUACAAAUGCUACUUUAAGUGAAAAUCAAUGUAUAAAGAGGCCAUCUUGGAUAUUGAAAUGGAUAGGAUAUGUUGUGUAAAAUAUUCUUCUAUGUUUUUCCCCAUUUUCCUUAGUUUUGUUUAAAUUUAAAUAGGUUCUGCCACUCUUGCAAAAAAUGGCUACAGCUAUUGUUUAUUGCUUACUUAAUUCAUCAUUGUUUUUUUUUUUUUUUUCCUUUCGUACAUAUGUCAUUACUUUUCUUCUUUUGGUUUCUCUUCUUCUCAUAAAAUGUAGAGAUCAUAAACAUGUGGAGUAGGUGUUGAAUCAUUACUUCACCCUUUGCUUAAAAUUAACCCUUCACAAUACUUCAAUCAUUUGAUGCUUAAUUAUCAAAAUAAAUUAAUGGCAAAAGGAAAGAGCCAUAUACAUUGUACAAAAAAAGAAAAAGAAAAAAGAAAAAAGAAAAGUAGGGGUGGGGCCAAACUUUCUCCAUGAGCUUGUGGUUUUCAAUUAGUUGUCAUUAGUGUUUAGUAUCUUGUAGAUGUUAGGUCAGGUCUCUAGCCAAAGAAAGGUUUAUUGAAUACAUGUGGACUUAAUUUGUUCAAUUAAGAUCUUAUAAUUAAUGCAAUCACACCCCAUUUAUCUUUGCUAACAUAGAUAUUUUCCAAACUCGAAUUAAGCUCUAGAUUUGGUUUCCAUUAUUUUUUAUGAUUUACCGAAGCUAACGCAACAAUACUGCUUAGACCUAUUAAUAAUAAGAAAUACUUAAACUAGAGUGUGUCAAACUUCUCACCAGUAGCUGGUCAGCCAUGUUUUAAAAGCGAUCCUCUACCCCUUCUUCUUUUCUUAAUUUAUUUCUUUUCCACCCCAGCCUCUACGCUCUUCUUAUGCUUGUUACUUUUUUUUUUGCCUGUAUUUUUGUCUGUUUCUCGGAAGCCCAAGCUGCUUCCAACAUGUAUGCCCAGUUCAUUUAACUUAAUGAAUGAAUCAGCUAGCUCGCUACCUAUUUCUCAAAAAAAAAAAAAAAGAAAUCUUAAACUGAGUUACUAGUACUAUUAUUCUGCGAAUUACCCUUUCCCUUUUUGAGUAUGACUAAUUAGGUGUAAGCCACACUAACGAAAUAAAGUAAGUUAUCAGCAGCUGAGAUAUUGAGUCUUCAGCUGAUAAUUUGCUAGUGCGUCAUUCAACCGAGUUGCAUUCUCUCUAUUUCUAAAAAAGGUUAGUGGUUAUAUAUUUUCAACGCUUUCUCAACAUCUUCCAACACGAAACUACUACUUUUUUCGGUGUGACAUAUGCAAGGAUAUAUAUAUAUAUAUCCUUCAUGGAAAAAGAAACAAUAGAUCUUAUCUUGCUUUACAUGCAUGGGAGAUAUUAAAAAUCAUGGUCAUGUCACCUUCAAAGGAUUAAAAGAAGGUAGGCCUAACAUGUGCAGAUAUAGCUGAUCAUCAUAUAUCCAAUAAUAUUGCUUUAAUUGGUAGUAAUUCAUGCAUGAUUAUGAGUGGUCAUCGGUCCAUGUUUUAAUUGCUGGACCCAUGAAACUAAUGACUAGCUAGUUCGACCAAUGUGUGCGCUAUGUAUCGACGUGUGCCCAACCAUGACCACACUUGUUUCAGGCUCAAUUUUGAGUCGUGAAAUUAAGCAAAUGUUUGGUUGGAGCGCUCUCACUUUUUCUUUUGUGGCCCCAGCGCACGUGCGCGUGCAUGUGUGUGAGCUACUACAUGAAUGCACCUCAUAAGGCCAGGAUCCUUGUAAGGUGAUAUGGUCCACCUUCAAAACAUAAUAUUGGCUCAUCCAGAGUGUAGUAAGUUGCACUUAAUGAGAGAAAGAGAGAGAGAACCUCAUAUAUAUCAGGUGCUUAAAUGCAUGUUGAGCUGGUGAUAGCAAAAACUCAUCUCUCAAUCAUUGAUGCUUGAUUCAUUGCUGAUCCAAUAAAUCUUUUGAAUAUAUGAUGGAACGAUCAUGAUUGAUUUGAUUUAAUGUGAUAUUUAUGAUUCUAUGACGCACGUGGAAUCUUGCUGUUUGAGAAUAAGUGCUCGAUCGAUCGCGUUGUCUUUAAAACAAUUUUUCUAUUCCAAUGAGUGGCAAUCGUGCACUAUUUAACAAACAAAAUUUACUAUGGCAAGAAGUUAAAAUAAACUUUUAGAUUACUAGUUUUCCAUAGCACAUAUAUGCAGGUCCGCCAGAAUUAAUUCUCUCGGCAUCGUUGACGGAUAACAUUCAUGCACAACCAUGAUCUCAAAGCCUAUCGACUUACACCGCGUUUUAGAAUCAGUAAGCUCUUGCAUUAUUUGCUUGAUUUGGUUUAGUGGAUUUAAGAAAUGUUUAAGUAAAUCCUUCAUUUAUUGUAAAAAGAAAAAUUUUGUAAUCAACAAUAGAGUCGGUUACUUACGAUUUACGAACUAGCAUGGUUCUUUGCAGAGUUCCAAUGGACUCGGCACCGCAAACAAGCCACUUGCCGACUUUCUCCUACUCCGAGGAGUCGGCGAGCUUUCGACCUCGGCGCCGUCUUCGUUCAUUCGUAAGCACCAAGAAAACAGAUUGCGGCGGAUGCAUUGAGGAAAUUAUUGGCAGUGCCUGGUUUACCACGUCAGCCAUAGACUGUACAGCAUUUACUGUCAAUCUCUAUAUACGUUUUAAACUUUCGCCCUUCAUUAAAUUUCAUCAUAUCUUUUUUUUUUUAUAACAAUUAUUUACUAUAUAUAUAUAAUUUGAGGAUAAGUUAUAAUUUUAAAUUUAAUUGUAUAGUCAAAUUUUAAUUUUUAAUUUUUUAUAGUUAAACUUAGAACUAAAAAGUUUUAUCUAAUUCCUCUUAUUUUUUUUGCAGUCCACGGAUGACGUGGUGAACUUCGUCCACGCAACAAUUUUUCCCGGAGAAGUAAAGCGGUGCAAGAGAGAGAGAAGCAGAGAACGCUAUAGAACGCCGUAUAAAGGGCGUAGGGGAUUGAACGAAACCGUAACCUUAAACCCUAGGGCAGAGGAGAUCGAGAUCGAGAGAGAGAGAGAGAGAGAGAGAGCAAUGGCGACGGAGAGCUCGGCCAUGGCGGUGAUCAGGGCCUCGCGCCCCUUCUUUCGCAACUCCCACGACAAGGUCGCCUUCGCCGUCCACGCCUCCUUCCUCGCCGCCGGCUACUCCCUCGCCGCCGCCGGGAAGAGCGCCUUCACCGAUCACCUCCCCUCCGGUUGGUAUCAAUUCCCUCCCCGAUCCCAUCUCUCUUUGAAACCCUCGGGUUCCGAUCUAAUUCCUCUUUGUUUGAUUUGUUGUUUGUGUUGCAUUGCAGGGGAGGAGGAGGUGGGAAUCGAUGGGUGGAACGAGCUUGAAGAUCGCUACGCUUUUGUUUACUUUAAGAAUGAGAAGGGGGUAAAAAAGCGAGUUCUGGUCAAGUGCUUGGCGAUUGGAGAUAAGCUCGCUGUAGAUGUGCUGAACCUUGAAGGGGAGCAAAAGGAACCUCUUCAUCUCCAAAUCAAGUAUGGAUUCGUUUGUAAAAAUUGAAACCUUUUCCUUUUUUUUGGGCAAUUUGUGUGGUUAUUGUUGAUUCUGUGUUACUGUUCGUGGUUGCAGUGUGAAGGAUUACUUGUCUGACGAUGGUGUUGAUCAACCGAGAAAUUAUGGGGAUAUGUACAAGGAUCUUAAGGGCCUUGUUGAGAGCUUGAAGUCUAGUGUUUUGGAUAAAUUGGAGGAUGGAUAUGAACGAAAAUUGAAUGCCAAAGUCGAGACCUCUUCAUCUUCUCGCAGGUCUCUUCAACUUGAAAUUUGGAUCUCUGAGUUUAAUAUACUAGUUUUAAUCAUUAAAUUCUUGUGCCAUUUAACUUAUUAGAAAAAUUACUUUGAAAACUGAUUUGAGAAAUGCAUAGAAGCCUCUUAGAGAUAUGUGUUAACGGUGUUAAUUGCUUGGUGAUUUAAGAUUUGUGAUGUGGUUGUUAUGCAACAAGGUUUGUCUGUUUAAAUGUUUUGUAUGUACCAGCGAUAUCUGCUAUGUGACAUUGAUAUAUUAUUCGACAGGUAGACUGGUUUCUUUGUGCAACACCAUUCUCCUUUCAACUGACAAAUCAUGUAUAAACUAUAUAACCAAUUGAGUGUAGUUCAGUAUAAUUGUGGGUUUGUAAAGGUUUAUUAGUUACUUGGUGCUCUAUCACAGAUCAUGCAUUGGAGAUUUGUGGAAGUACAAUAAAAGCAUAACAGUGUAGCAUAAUGCUUUGGCAGUAUUGGGGUAGUUGGGUGUUGGAAGGAGCAACUUUGAAAGAUUUAGGUUAUAAAUUUAGCACAGGAGAGAGAUUAAUUGAUAAUUAGGGAAGUUGAAUAAGGGCCAAGUUUCUGUAGGUAAUUAGUGGGCUUCGAGACAAGAUGUUAGUAGGUGUAGAGGCAUUUGAACUUGUGUCAAAGUGAAUUUGGAAGAAUAUGUGAUAAUUCAUGACAUGAAUGAACAAUAUCACAGGUUGAUAUGCUUUUAAGAAACAUUUCACUUUCUCACGAUACAACUUGAUGCAUGUGUAUUGAGUAGGUCUCUGGUUGGUUGCCCCCCCUCCCUACUAUACUGUGGUUGCAUUCGUGUAUGCUCGUAUAUCAUGAUUAAUUGCUAUUUUUUAUGGCACAACACGACAAUUUUGUGGCUUAUUCUCUGUUUUCCAGUUAUGAAGGGCCUGAUAUAGACUUAAACACUCCUGAAUCGGUUGUGGGAGUUCCAGCUGAGGAUCAGCGUCAACCACCAAAGUAGGUGCUUUGAGUCCUUUUCUGCUUUUUAUUUGCAGUUGCAUGGUAUUCUAGUUCUAUCCUUUAUUUAUUUUCUUUAUAUGAUUGUAAUAAUAAACUUCCAAAUCUGGAUCAACCACAAAUUUAAGGGCAAGUAAAGAUAAAAAGGGAAUGUAUUUACUUGCAAUAACAGUUGUUACUUGCAACAACAGUUGUUACUUGCAAUAGCAGUUGCUAGACGGACUUCUCACUAAGUCAUCAUGAGUAUUCGACUCACAGCCUAGGUCUACCGCUAAAUCUAUGGCACUAGAGGUAGUAAAAGGCUGUGCUCGAGGGGUUCAAAUGUAAAUACAACUGGCAAGGGUAGUGCUCAGUUUGGUCAUCCUCUUAGUGUAUGCAUGUGUUUGUGAACAAGAUGAAGAGAACUGAUACGAAAAGAAUUCAUCAAUUUGCUUGCUAACAACUUUUUACAUGGACACAUCUGAUAAGAAAGAUAUCUAGGAGGGAAAGAAAAGGCCGGGAAUGAGAGAAAAGACAAAUAAGAAUGUCUGAUGUAGAUUAGAUUGACCUUGAGCAGGACCGUUAGCUGAGUUGGCAAUUAAAUGAGUUCUUAGUAAUUUAUUGUGUCGUUGAUUAUAUAUGGGUAAUAAUGUGAUGUCUGCCGUAAGGGUUUCGGAAUUACAAAAGAGAAAUAAAAAUGAAUGUUGACACUUUUAGCUUGGUAUUGCGUCUUAAUUCUCAACCAGUCUGAAUACACUUUAUUUCCCUCUAGCUUUAAUGUUGUUAAUAUUUUUAAUGUGAUUUCACUUUGUUUCAGCUAACAUAUAAUAGAAUUGAAACAUUUUUUUAAUUCAUAUUUGGUCAUAUUUUAUCUUUGUAUGUAGUAUUGUAUAUCCUCCAGUUCCCCCAUUUGACUACAAUGACGCGAUCCCUGGGGCUGGUGCUGGGUUUUAUCCUAACAGGUUUGUUUUCGAGCCUCACCAUAUUUAUGUCGUAUAAUUUACUAUCCAAUCUAUGAUCUCAUAUGAUCAUAUUCAUUCAUUUCAGGGGUCCCGGAAUCGGUGGAGACAUGCUCGUAGGUAAUUAACUUAUUCUUCAGUUAUACAAUAUCGGAUUACUUCAAUUAAUUCUUAGAAAUUUGCUUAAUGCUCUUAUCAUUGCACAGGGCCAAAUAAUCCAAUCUUUUUCCCUCCUGGUGGACGCCCUGAUACUCUAGGUGGAUUGCCGUGAGUAACAUCUAUUUAUUUUUCUGUAUCAUCAAAAUCUGCUUAUCUUGUCCAAAUCUACAGAAUCAUUUUGUAUUAAAGGUACUAAUACAUGUAAAUCUGAUACAGUGGUGUACCUCCUGGUGCUCGGUUCGAUCCCAUUGGUCCUCCUGAUGUUCCAGGCUUUGAGCCUGGUCGCUUUGUCAGGUACACUUCAAUAGAUAUUUAAGCAACUAAUAGAUGAACCAAGUUUUGUGGCCACAAAGUAUUCAUUAUCUGAUGUUCGCCUAUAAGAUUAAAAAAACCAUAGCAUGCUUAUUGUAGACAUUGUUUAUUUUCGCCUGUCUGGUUAUCUUAUAAAUUGCUUCUUAUUUUAAUAUGUUGGUGCGGUAAAUUUCUGUUUCUGAUAAGCCUCUGCUGUAAAUUCUAUGCAGGCGUCAGCGGAGGCCCGGCGGCGGUACUCAUCCAGAUCUUGAAUUCUUCCAACAAGGCCCUGACUUCAUAUAGAGUGUUGCCUCAGUUGCGCGGCAAUUUUGCGUUUUCACCAUGGUUUUGAUGCAUGCAUAUGUUUGCCGCAUAUAUAGCUGACAGACAUAUACCUGACAGACAGUGCAAUAAGUUUCCUUUCUGUUGCAUCUAAAUAUAUGACAAAAAAGAUGUUCUAUGGUGUUAUACUCCUGUGAAUGUGGUGCACUGUGUCCUUUCAUUACCAUGUUCUGCUUUUAGUAGCAUCAUGAACUCUUCUGAGUUCCUUGAGCCAAUUAGGGUGAUCUCUCUUCUUAGAUCCACUUUUGCUUGUGGGACGUCAUCAUCAUUAAUGAAUUUUUAGAGCCUUAAAAGACAGUUUUAUUUUAGUGCUUCUGAUGUGUUUUAUAUGGAGAGAACCUGUUGGUGAGAUAUAUUUGAUAUAUUGCUUCUUUCCUAUUGUAGUAUUUGCGAAGUACUUUUUCUAACAACACUGCACUGUAAAUCAGGCUGGAACAUAAAAGUAAAAUAAAAUUAGCAAGCCAAAAGGCUGGAACAUAAAAAAAAAAAAAAAAAAAAAAAAAAAAAAAAAAAAAAAAAAAAAAAAAAAAAAAAAAAAAAAAAAAAAAAAAAAAAAAAAAAAAAAAAAAAAAAAA
rnacentral:lncRNA from 1 species